rnacentral:lncRNA from 1 species
CAGAAAAGGGACCUCUUUGCCCAACAGGUCACCCUUGGAACUUCAAAUUUAAAAUUUUCAUCAUUAAUUCAAUUUUUUUUUAAAAACAAAAAACAUAAAAGUUAUGCAAAGAGGUGGGGAUCAAUGAAGAACAAAGAGAGUGAAAAAGAAAAAAGUAAGUACUUGAUUGCAUGGGCAAAAUUAAAGAUCAAAAGUGAGAAAUGAUUCCAAAGCAAGUGCCAGAGAGAAAAAGAGCAUCGCCAGUCACCAUAAACACAUAUUAUGGUACAUAUAAUCAUCACAUUUAAAGCUACUUUAACUCUCUAAUUACCACAGUACUUUUUUACUGCAUCCUCUUCCUACUUAAUAAAUAAAAUAUUUUCUACUUUUUACACAGGCGAAACGGCCUCCAUUAAUUUCUCCCUUGAGUCUCAGCCUCUUUUUUACAUCAUCAGGAAAACUGUAGAAAAUAGGAGGACCAAUAAUUGACUUGCUAGUACCCCAACCUCCACCUGCAUUUCCACCCACCAAAUCAACACACCAUUAAAAUCAUUUCACUAUUAUUUUAUAUGUGUAUGGCCAAGUGAACCAAAAUGAUAAAUGAAAUACACACACACACACACAUAUAAAAUCAUGACUUACAUAUGCAGAUUUUACGUAACACUUUAACAAUUCAGCAUCAAAUUGGAAAGUUUUAAUUUCAAACUCUUACUAAACAUUAUGUGCAAAUCCACAUUUUUAUAAAACCCAAAACGUUCUCACCUGAUUCACAUGGCCUGAAGUGGGCAAAGGCCGUAUAGUAGCAGAAUCAACUUCACCAGUAGGCAGAGGAACGGCGGGGUUACUGUUAAUGAACGGAAUGCCGCUGCCUUUAUCCGGCACCGUCUCUGGAGAAGUGGCAGCAAUCAUGGGUGCAGGAGUUGGGGAAAAAGCCUUUUCAUGAGGGCGGAAAGGCCACGGAUAAGAUGGAGAAGACGACACAAUGCCUCCGGGAGCCGGCGUCGGAGCCGCCAUCAUCGGAGGUUUUUCCGUUGAAGGGGUUGGUGACGGAGUUGAAGAGACAGCAGAGACUUUUAUGGAGAGCUUUUGUGAGCUUUUAUUGCAUGUUUGAAGAGAGCCGUUGUUGAAUGUGAAGUAGAAAAAUCCAGGGCGUGAUGGGUGCCACUAAUUAUUUUGCAUACAUUAUGAGCAAAAAUUUUAAAAAAUUAAAAAAAGUUAGUAACAAUUUUGAGACAUUUUUCAAUGUACCCCACGUAAAAAAGAAUGCAACUAGAACAUGUUUCCAGAUCCAAAAAAAUUAAAUCAUUUUCAAAAUUUCCAUGUUUUUGUUUCAAAAACAAGAUUUGAAGCUAGCUAGUUACCGUAUAGGAGGUGGAAUUGGGCUUUGUGAGAAGAGUAGCUUGAGAGAAAUUGCAAAGAUUGAAUGCAUUCUUGUUCUUGAAAAUGUAGAGGUUGGAGUUAUUAAACUUGUGUUUGAAAACUGAGAAAGAAAUUAAGAACAGGACAUGUUAGUCAUUGCUAAUUUGGAUCACAUAAAAAAUGUUGUUUUGUUUUCAGAUUACUUACUGAUUGUGUCUCCUACAUGGACACUGGGGUUCUUCCACUCUGAAAUUCCAUCAACAAAAAUUGUUGCCGAUUGAGCCUGUUGUGAGAGAAGAAACAAAACUAGGAAGAUUGGAAGCAUGGAUGAAAUGUCAAGCUUCAUGAACUGAAAUAAUGAACUAAUGAAGUGAAAUGAUGAAGAGGGAUGAUUAAAUCAGAAGGGUUUAUGGCUUUUAUGCACUUGUAAUUGCUCUGUCAAAGCUUUUAAAAGAAAAAGAGCAUUCUGAAAAUUGAAAAAUGUGCAUUAGUUUUUUUGUCUCUUGUUUUUGAGGGGAGACCCUGCAAACUGUCAGACUUUGUUUGAAUGGAUGACAGACAAUGGAUAUGGGAGAUUGUGUGAUUUCAUUUAUUUUAAACAGUAAAAGGUGGCAUGAUUUUGUUUGUUGAAAAACUUUACAAAAAACAGUAAUAAUAAAGAGGAUGAAAUUAGUAUUUAUAAUGUAAUGAUAAAAAAAAUUGAUAAAAGAUGAUGGGGAUUAUUAUUCUAAAAUGAUUAGCUAGUUCUUUGUGAUUAUCACUCUGCAGUCUUUAUUUACAUCAAUUUUUAAUUUAAAUAGUUUUUUUUUUCUUACAUGGAGAGGUGAAUGAGUGUGGGGAAUCUAAUUUUACUUUCUUUGAUGAAAUCUUUAACUUUUUAAUUUGGCCCCUUCAGUUUCUUUAUUACUUUAAUUUGUUUAAUGAAGUGAUACGCAUACUUUUUAUUUUGAUGUUUCAAACGAAUAAAAUCUCACUUUCUUCUGUAAUUACAUUGUGGAAUUGAAACCAUAAAUUUAUCUAUAUUAAACAAGACUCAAUACGAAACCCAAUAUAUAUAUAUAUAAAUAUAUAAAACACUUGCAAAACCAGUUGUGAUACUCGUACAGUAGAGUAUGGAAACUUACUUAAGUUGUGUAUUGGGUUGUAACUUAGCACAUUAAAUUUGUUAUAUGAAAGUUGAAACUUUAUAUAUAUAUAUUUCUUUUAAGUUUGUUAUACACAGAUGUUACUGACAUUACAUCAGAUAUUACAAUUAAUAUUUACAAUUAUACAUAUAAUUAGGACCACCGCUAUACAUUGACACACUGAAGCACUUGCUCAUAUAUUUUAAACCCUCUCUAAUAUUCGAGAGGUAUAUGCUCCACUCACAUUUCGUAAAUGAGAGAUUAUCUCCACUCAAUUAUAUUAAUAAUUGAGAGAGUACUGAAAUUAUCCACCAUAAAACUCUUAUGGAGGCUCGAAUCAUUGCAUUCAACAUUAUAAGUGCAAUGAUUCUCUCAUUGGACCAAAGGCCUAUUGGUUGAAAAACUUAUAUAUACUUACAUGUGCGUGCAAAUGCUCGUUUAAUGAAAGGUACAAAAUGUUAGAAUCCCUUGAAAAAAUAUUGCAGAAUUAGAAAUUGAAACUUUAUUUUUUUUUCCAAUAGGAAUUAUCACCUGAGAUAUUCCGCUGGUAGCUAGUCAAGGGUCAGUAAAAUAUAAUAUGUCAACAAAAUAUAUCAGUUAUUAAGAUAAGAAACUGCAAAUGCUGGAUCCGGAGAAGCUGGUGUAAAUAACAGCAGGGCCGAAUCAUACGAAGACAAGGAUUAAGGGACAAAAAGAAUAAAAAAGAAAGAGGACUAGAACAGGGACAAAAAGAACUUAGGAUACUUAAAAAAACAAUCUUGGAGGAUUAGAAGACAAAAAUAAAAAAAGCUUUCUGGUAUAGUUCCUCCCCCCUUUGUUAUCUCCCAAAUCAUUGUUUCAAUGACAAUCAACAAACUUUAGUAUUGGCCAAAAAGAUAGCUAAACAAAAAUAAAAAUUACCGUAUAUUUACACUAAAGAAAAAGAGUCUUAAAUAGAAUAAUUACAAUGAAAUUACAAAGAAAAAAAAGAAUGACGUGGUAAAUCUACCUCACCUAAUAUCUUUUUUUCGAUCUAUAUUUGGCUGAACUGCAUACAAAACAUAAUCAAUUGCAAAAUUGAAAGUUUUCAUGUAAUAUUUGAUAAUCUGAGUAAUACUAAAGAAAGGGGAAUAGUAUAUACAAAUACGUGGCUCGCCAUUCAACAGCAACGGCAACAGCUUUACUACAAAUUGCAGCUUUCGAAGUGAGCAGAAUGUCAAGACAAGUACUAAAAGACAAAGGAAUAGUGACAAGAGUGCUUCCGGGAAGCAGAUAAAAGAAACUAGUGAUAGAUAAAUAAAUAUUUGCAGAAAAGAUAUUAAAAGCCGUUGAGUGGAUAAAUCGACAGAGAUAAAGCGCCUGUUGCCGUUGCUAUUUCAUUUUCAAUGUCGAUACGAGAGUGCUCUCUGCUGCCAGUCUCGCUCCCACGCUCGCCACUUGCUACUUCGAAACCCUAACCUUCAAUCCUCUAAAGAUUAAUAGUUGCCAUUUAAGAAGCCUUUUUUUUUUUUUUUAGCGACUAUUGUGUUUUUCAGAGCAUUUCUUUGAAUUUCCUAUAAAUUUCCCAUAUUACAGACAUAAAGCUUACCAUGAGGAAUUUUAUUAUUUAACCAAAAAAAACCUGAGAAAAUUUGUGGAAAUAAAAACACGGCUAAUAAUAAUAAUAUGUUGGCAAGUAAUUUUAAGUCCAUAACUUAUAAUGAGGGCAGAAGCUUUCACGCAUAUUGAUCCAUGUAAGGACAUGCUAGAACUAAAAUUACAAAUGACAUUUCAAGAUAGCAACGGCAUAAACAAGAACAGUGCCAUUGGACUCUCAUAAACACAUAGUCUAGCAUUAGCAGAUAUUCUCAGAUCAUUAAUUACUGAUAUAUUUUGUUGAAACCUAAAUACAGUAUACUGCCAAUCCAGAAUGUACUUUGUUCUCCCAAAUCACAUUAUAUAUAGCAGAAAUCAGGAGAAACAAAUUUUGCAUUGCAACACUCCCUAACUACAUUGAUCUACAUUUGUCAUCAGCCCUCCUUUAUCUCACCUGAUGAAAGUCUCUCUCUCUCUCUCUCUCUCUCUAUUUUUUUUUUUCCUCAAAUAAUAGGGAAUUUUUCUUUCUCUCUCUCUCUCUCUCUCUCUAUCAUUUGUCAUCAGCCCUCCUUUAUCUCACCUGAUGAAAGUCUCUCUCUCUCUCUCUCUCUCUCUAUUUUUUUUUUUCCUCAAAUAAUAGGGAAUUUUUCUUCACGGCUCGGUGACAAUCCCUUUUCAACUAUAUAUCAAGAACCAUUACUGCUCUGAAGUGAUCAUUGGGUGGAUGUAACUACCAUGAAAGAAGCUAUUUCUCUAUAAGAUGACAUUGCUGCCACAUUCUUUCUAUGCAGGAGAAGCCAGUUCGUAAGUUAUCAUAUCUAAAGCAAAACAUAAUCUACCACUCCGCGGAUUGAACUCUCCGAAGAACACGCGGUGGUCUUUUCUUCUCAACAACUGGAACCACUUUUUCCAUUAGCUGCAGGAGAAUCAAUAAGAAAAUCAAUAAUCAAGUAAUUUAAGCUUUGCUAGCCAUUCUCAUCAUUGUAAUUUACUUUGCAAUAAAACAUUGCUACAUUUGUUCUGUCUAUGAUUUAUGGCAAUUUCAUAAAGCACCAGCAAAGCUACCCACUAGGACAGACUGCUUGACUGAAAAAGCAUGGUAGGAAAAUUAGACGGAAUUGUCAAUGUUUCUAUGCAUAUCAUCCUUGAAUCAAUCACAACAAUGAUACAACUAUACUUGCAGACUUGAAUAUAGUUGAAAUAUAUGGGUUUCUCUAUAUUACUCAUGAAUUAGAUUAUCCAAAAUCAACUUCCAACACUAAAACACAUUAAUUCCCAAAUUUGAUGAAAAGUCAGACAGAGUUGUUUUGUUACCUGCUUGUACCUCUCCUUAGUCCUCUCCGCCUGCACAGGAAGAAAUUUUGUUAGGCAAGAAUAAGAAAAAUCCAUAGGGGUAAAAAAGAACUUGAAGAGAGCUAACACAAUUAGUAUAGCCUCCAAUAUGCAUUUACAACUGGGCUUUCAUAUUAGAAAAAGGGGAUAAAAUUAGACCUCCUAAACCACAGCAAACUAAUGGAACAUAAGAGAGUGUAUAUGUAAUUGUUCAAUGCAAACAACAUAGUGUUAUGGUAAAUAUCUUAAAUUAUAUGCAUAAACCACUAUGCACUCGUGAUGACACAAAUCUGAAAAAAGCUAAAUUGAAUUUAAGCAAUCAUCGGUAAUAAAACUCCCAUCUAGACAUUAUCUGUCAACUUCUAUGAGAAUGGGAUGAAGGUUGGAAAAGUACUGCAAGAGAACGAUGAAAGUUAGAAGUGAUCUCCAACUCCAAGUGAUUGCUAUCAUCAAUAAUUUUCUUCAAUUCUUAGUAAAUAAAUACCUCACAUAACAUCUAUCCUAGAAAACAUAACUAAUGAUUUAUAUAACAAUGUUUUUAAUGCAUGAUUUGUCCGACAACUAACUGUCAUUAGGGAUGUCCACAUAAAGUCUGUAACCAGUGUGGAAACAAUUUAUAAAUAAUGUGUGAAUAAUUUUUUUCAGGAAGCAGUGCUGCACCACUACAACCACAAAUAUAAGUUACUUCAAUAAGUUUACAUAUAUAGAUACACACACUAAGAAAAUGAACUUAUUAAUCUGUGCAUCAAGAACAGAAACAGAAAAUACAGGAAUGGCUCCUUCGUCCCCUAAUAGUUAAGCAUCUGUUGUUUUUUAUCUAGCAAACAACUUUGUUGUUUGGACCACUGAAAUCAAACAAAUCUUAAAGUUUGCUUCUCCAAGGAAAGAUUUCAAACAAGUAUUGAAAGUUAACUAAUUAAAUCACCACAUAUUUCAGAACUUCUUAGCUUGUGCUAUUGGUAACCUAACAAAAUUUCAGAAGACAAGGACAGGAAUUAACAGUUAAGAUAAGACGUCAUAUUCAAAAUAGAUCACCCACAUACAAUAAUCAAAAAAACCAAAUCAUUUAAAUUUAAGGCAUGUAAAUACUAGAAUACAAUCUUUCAAAUACCUUUACAUGGUAGAAUGUUAACUUGAGGCAGAGACAAUGAACAAAUAAUUCAUAACACUAUCUGAAAACUGAUAAAUGACAUGACCAAGCAUGCUUGCUAUGUGUUAUUGAUCAAUUUAUUAAUCUUACAAACUCUCUUCAGCAUUGGUAACAUAUCUAAUUACCUUUUCUUUCAACAGCUGCUCGUUUUCCUCCUCGAGCCUCACUGCCAAAGAUUCUAAUUCCACUUGAUAAGCCUGCAGAACACCAAAAAUUCCAAACCCAUCGAUCAACAAAACAAUCAGGAUAUGUUUGGAAUUGAGUUGCAGCCACGACCGCUAUAAAUUGAAAUCAGAGACAGUGAAGUACAGAUGGGUAGGUGUUUAUCAAACGCUUCAGCUGAUGUGCUAUCAAAUCAAAAGCCUAAUUAGAACAGAGUUUUGUGACCUGUUUCCUUUCCCUCGACCUAGCAGCGGACUCUCGGUUCUUGAUCAUCCUCCGUUGCCGCUGCUGCGCUGCCUUAUCCAAUGGCUCCAACAUCACUCUCCCUCUCUUCCCUCUCCCGCCAACAACUUCCACUCCAUUUCCAAACCCAACAAUGGCCCCUUCAACCUGAAAGGGACUCGCCGCCGCCGGCUGAUCAAACGCAUAAACUCCACCACUCAACCUCUCAGUAACAUUCGCAAAAGCUUUCACGUCCAUGUCAUCACCGCCAGCACUAUCCUCAACAGCUCCCGCCUUUGCCAAAAAAUCCUCCAAAGUCAUCAUUUCGUCAAUCGCCUCCUCCUUCAUCUCCUUCUUCUCCCCCGAUACGAUCUCCCUCCACACGUCGUCCACACUCUUCAUCGCCCCCGCCGAGACGGCGCCGUUCUGGUCGUUCUCGUUCGCGAUCAGAUUCGAGUUCGUGUCGACCAGAGUGAUUUGCGCGUCGAGAAGAGUGGCGUCCGUCGUCGACGCCGUCGUCGUGUUGUAGACGUUCCGUAAAAUGCCGUCCACCGUCAUUGCGGAAGCGAACUUCGACGCGUCAGUUAGUGCCUCUUGCUGCUGCUUUGUAGAAGAAGAAGAAGAAGCAGUAGAGGACCGUUUUGAAAGAUCCGAAUUUCGUGUGUUUGAAGAUUUCAUGAUUUUAGAGGACGCCAUUUUAGGGCUAAUCCUCAGAGAUUCUCUCUAGAAUUUUUCUUUGUUUGCGUUAUAUUAGUUGUACUUUUACAAAAAUUUUAGGGUUUUGGGAAUCUGAUAAUUUGAUUUCUUGAUUUUGGGGAUGGUUUGUUACUCUGUUGGGAUCGGGGAGAGUUGAGGAUUUGACUGUUUUGAGUUUUAAGCGUUGAGUAAGAGAAAAGCGCGUGGGUUUCGUUUCGUCGUGAGAGGGAAAUGUUAGAAUUACGGACAAUAGCGGUGACUGUGACAAGAAACGGAGCGAAUCCGUCCGUCCACUCCUCGAUAGGACAAUGAGAUAUCACAUGUGAGUUUGUGGGGAGCCGACUGUAGACCAUUUCUACGAAUUUUUUUUCUUUUGAGAUGAUAUUUUUCAAAUUUUUUAAUUAUGGUAUGGGUGACGUGUCGAUCACCGUGCAUUGUGGCGCUCUUUGUAGUUUGGAUCUUCUUUGUUUCGUACUGGGUGACUGACUGAUGACUGUGGGCUGAAGAAAUGGGUCUGAUUUAUUGGGCUUUAAAUUUGCAACAUGAAUUAUUUAUUUUAUACCAUUUUCACAAAUAACAUGAACAUGAUAUUUAAUGAUAAAGUUAAAACAAGAAUAAUCUAUUAGAUAACAUAAUAAUAAUAAUUUUAUUAGUUAUAAAAUUUAUCAUAUUGUUAUAAUAUAUGAGUGUAUGACACAUAUGAUUGGAUCCAAGUGUUGGAAUACUCUGAUACGAAUACUUUUAAAUCUUAUAUAGAGUGUAUGGUCUUAAUUAUAAUAUAAAAUAUAAACCGCCCCCCACAUCCCACCCCAAAAAAAAAAAGCCUCAAAAAAAUUUACUUCCCAAAAUCUGAUUAAGUGACCCGAUUACUUUUGCACGCCCACAACAUGAAUCGUGUGUUCUAUUUGCAAAGAAAAUUGAUGUAAAUGGCCUAAAAUAUCAGUUAUAAGAUACAAGCAGCCGCCCGUUACCAAAAUUUGGGCACGGUGCCUGUGACUUUUAGACGUUACACCUAAUAUAAAAUACACACACGCAUAUUAUGUUACAAGAAAGUUAAGGUGAAGUAGCACAAAUUUAUUAAAUAUUGAUCGAUCAAUUUCGUGUCCGAGUUAACAAAUUGUGUGCAAAAUCCCGAUCACUCUGAGACGCACACUCUUGAAGUUGAGAUCUCCACGCAUAUCUCCUCAAGUUAAGCUCAGGGUUGAGAUUGAGGUUAUCUUCAAUGGACUUCCAAGAAGUUUAUUGAUUACUUGCAUGCAUUGCUUUCUCUUUCUCUCAAAUAAUAUGCAUGUUUUCUCUUCCACAUGAAAUGCCCACGUAAAAACCUUCCACGUGUAUACCAAAUCCACUUUUUUAAAUCUUUUUUUUUUUCCUUUUAAAUAAGUGAGAUGUAUAUAGACGGAGAAAAUGUUUGGAGUUUCACUUAAUUUUCGUUAUUAAUCAGAAAAAAAGGUUUAAAUAAAAGACGUAAUUUGGCAGCAGAAAAAACAUGAAGUUGUUAGGCGGAGCAAUUUGUGCCUUUACAGGUUUCUUGCCAACUAUUCUUUGCUCAACCCUCAACGUUCCUUCAACCGUUCUCGAAACCAAACCCUAACUAAUUAUUUAAAUUAUUUCCACUUGCUUUGCCGUGAAUGUACAUUUAUACCCCUCCUACAAUUAUACAUAUGAAUCAUUUAAUUAAUUAAUUUUCUGAAUUUCUUCCACCUUUUUCUUCAAUAAUUGUAUAUAUUAAUUCCAAUUAAUCUAAUUAAAUUGAGAUGGAAAAACUCGAUUUUAUAAGUGCUAUAACUCAGCACGCAAUUCUAUUUGGCUCCACAUCUAAGAAUCUUUAAAUUAAUUUCUUGUAAAACUCAAUUUUAUAACUGGUGUCAAAGGCAAUAUUAAUGAUCAUCAUAACUGAAACACACGUACCCAUGUCUCACAGUUCGCAAGAAAGUGUGGCAAUCAUUCAAAAAAUCAUAAAAUUUCACCACAAUAAUUAGGUACUUUUUCUCUUAGAAAAGAGAUGAAAAUUUUCUCAAUUUUUCAUUUUAAAUAUCGAAAGUAUCGAGAAACUAAAUAAAAAACUAAACCCCCGAGUCUUAGAUAUUUUAACUUCUUUAACCUUAAAUUUGAAAGGAAAAUGUUAUUUUUCCCGGGUCAAACCCCGAAUUAUUUCAAAACGGCGUCGUUUUGGCUUUUUUUUUUAUUUGUUGCAUGAAACGUAGUCGUUUCAUCUAGUAAAAAGAAAACAAACUAAAGCAUUUUCCUAAGGCAGAGAAACGAAGACGCUAUGCAGAGAAACAACUACUCUUAGCUCUUCCUCUUUGAUUUUUCAGUCACCAGUGUUGAAGCUCUUCCUCUUCGAUUUUUCAGUCACCAGUGUUGAAGCUCUUCCUCUUCGAUUUUUCAGCAGCUGUUAAUAUUUUCUGACAUAAGACUAAGUUUCGGCAUUUGCACAAGCUAAGGUACGAAUCUUAAAAUUUUCGAAGUUUCAAUUUCGAUUACGAAUUUCUGUCUCAUUUUUGUUGUCAAGUUUGUAUUAAAUCAGCACAAUUUCCAGACCAAUUCAAGCACAAAUUGCAGACCAACUCAAGCACAAAUUUCAGACCAAUUCCAGCACAAAUUGCAAACCAAUUCAGCACAAAUUCCAUACCAAUUCAAGCACAAAUUGCAGACCAACUCAAGCACAAAUUUCAGACCAACUAAAGCACAAAUUACAGACUAAUUCAGCACAAAUGCAGACCAAUUCAAGCACACAAAUUGCAGACCAACUCAAGCACAAAUUCCAGACCAAUUCAGCACAAACACAAUUAUUUCCUUAACAUUUAAUUUCAACCGAAAAUUAAAUAAAACAGAAAUUGAUAGCUAUCAAAAUUGUCCCCAUUUUACCGUAACCUAGAAAAGCUAAAGAUCGAAGCAUUACCUGAGGCUGUGAUAACUGUGACGCUUCGUGAGUUCAAUGAGGGAUGCGUGUGAUGGCUGCCACGUUGACGGUGACCGUGCCUGCGCGAAUGGCAGAAACUUCCAGAUUUGGGUGGAAAAAGGAAGACGAGAAAACGAAGAGGAGGGGAAGACGAAAACGAAGAGGACAAAACGAAUGGUAGAAAACGAAUGGCAAAUUUCCCUGAUGAAACGAAGAGGAGAAAACGAAGAGGGGAAGAUGAAAAUGAAGAGGAGAAGACGAAAAUGAAGAACGAAGAGGAGAGCUUUUGCUAGGGUGAAACGGUAGCGUUUCAAAUAGAAGAGGAAACAGCGUCGUUUUGCUUUAGUUUUCGGAGUUUGACCCGGGGCAAAUAGCAGAACUCAAUUUGAAAUAUUGAGAAAUGCUAUAUAUAUUAAUAUAUAGUUGUGAGAGUUUUGCUGCAUUAGUGGUCCUGCUCAGUUCGAAUAUAAAUUAAUCAGGGUCUAAUGUGGUUUUUGGAUACCAGAUAAUUUAAUACACCGAAAAAAAAUUUAAUAAGAUGAUGCUUUAAUACAACAAUAAUAACGAAGAUCCAUGCUAAUAGUUGGAUACACGAAAGAGGAAACAUAGAUUAUUGAAGAAUGAUGAUGAAGAUAAUGACAAAUUAAGGACAAUGAUAGCUCACAAGUUUCUUUUGGUUUUCGGCAAUAUUAAUUCCUAUUAACACAUGUGUAGCCACACAACUCAUAAUCAUAUAUAAUAAACAAACUAAUCAAGGGCAUGUUGGUAGUUUUGGACAAAUAUUUCUUCAGCCUCCAAGAUACCGUUUAGGUGUUAGAGAAAAGAAUGGAGUGUAAAGCUUACAAAAUCAUGCAACAGGAUAAACACAAGUUAAAUUAUGAAUGAUGAUGGAGUGAAUGAAGAAAUAAAGCCAACGACAAAAUUAAAGGAGGCUACCAGAUGCAAUAAAGGUUCCUCAUGAGACGAGGGCUGCUCAGCAAAUUUAGCCUCAAAGCUUGCUAAGAAUUUGGAUAAGUGAUUAAAAUUCUCUUUCUCUUUCUCUUUUGAUCAGAUUAGAUAGAGUUACCAAAGAGAUAGCGUUCAAUACAAUCCUUAAAACGCCUUUAAUAAUUUAGAGGCUUUAUAUAAAUGUGUGUAUUUUUGUUCAACUGACAAGCCUAGGAAGUUUAAUAUACCUGCUGAUAUUUAAUAUUUGCAUAAUACCCUUCAGUAUUUUCCUUUUAAGAAUCUUAAUUUUGUAUAUUCUUAGAAGGGAAUGAUCCAAUUGUGGGGUAUUUAAUUUUCUCACUGGAAGUGAGAACUCUGUUUGGUUUUUCUAAAUUAGUCUAGGAUAUAUCUUCAACUUUAUUCUUAUAUAAUUUAUAGGAAUUCAAUAAGAUGUGGGCAAAACUUAGAGCUGCAAACUCCAGAAGAGGUAUCUUCUAAUAGUGCAUGCACAAGCACACACGCAUCAUAUUAAUUGUUGCUUGUUUUAAUUUAUUACCAUCUUCUAUAUAUCAUUGACAACGGGACAAUCAUCAUGAGUUUUGCCCAAAUUUAUGCUUCUUCCAUGAAACAAAAUUUUUUCAUAAAUAUAUCGAAAUAAAGUGAAAUUUUGUUAUACUGAUUUUUUUUUUCUUUUUUUUUUUUUGUGUUCUUUCGGGUACUUGUUCCUUUUUAUCAUAUCAAAUUUAUGUAUAAGACAUAAGAAAGAAAAUGUUUAGAAUAAUUUACUUACAUAAAAUUUGUUAUUUAUUCAAUUAUUUGCAUAUUUUUCUCAUAGGUUGCUUGUUUUCCUCAUCUCAAAUUACAUGCAUGAAAAGAUUUCCUCAUCUCAAAUUUUUAUGUACCAUGUGUAUCUUUGAUGACUGAAAUAUUAAUUAUUCGUUAUAUUUUUUUUUUAUUAUCUAUAUACAUCUUGAUAUCUAUAACGUCAGUUGAUAUUUUCUACAUAUAUCUUAAUUUCAGAUGACAAGGAAUUGAGAGAAGCAAGAAAAAGCCUGAACAUUAAUGAAGAAUAUCUCAGCGCACUAAGAACAAAAUCUUUUGCCGAAUGCUUCUCCAAGGCUCAAUUAUUCGUUACCGAGCCAUCCUCUCCAUCCUGCCGCCAUGAAAAUUUUUCUGAAAUCUUGCUUGAACCCGAUCAAGACACCAUACCAAGCAUUCUUGAAUCAGCUGUUCUUUCAAAGGUGCCCGAACUCAAAGACCUCUUGCUUAAUUACUUUGAUAUAAGUGCUGAAGCGUCAAGCAUUUGUGGCCAGCUCCUCAAGAACAUCAAUGAUGUUCGACAUGAGUACCGGUUCAUUCAACGUGCCCUAGAUACGGCUGAUGAUGAUCAAACAGAACCUCACGAUAAAGUUAAGUUGAUUGUUUCAAACUUGAACUCGUUGAUUAUUUUAACCAACCCGUUUUCCAAUCCGAGUACGAAUGAAUUUAAGGUCAUUCAUGAUAAGUACUCUUCCGUGUUGCACAAUUUGAAAUCAAAGAGAAAAAAGGUGGCAAGAAAAAUUAAGCUGAUUAAUUAUGUGCAUAAGGCAAGUGGGAUUUGCAUAACAGCAGUCUGUAGCUUAAUUGCUAUAGCAGCUGUUGUUCUUGCAGCACAUGCACUCACUGCCCUACUCAUCGGGCCAAUGAUUUUAAGCUUCCCCACAAAGUGCUUCAAGAAAAAGCUCUUCAACUUUAGAUUCCUCAGAAGUGGGUUCCUAAGAAAAGUGAGGAAGCAGCUUGACGUGGCAGCCAAGGGGACUUAUAUCUUGAAUAGGGAUUUUGACACGAUGGGGAGACUUGUUGCUAGGUUACAUGAUGAAGUUGAGCACAACAAGGUAAUGAUUCGAUUUUGUUUGGAUAGACGAGAGGAUAAAUUUGCUUUGCAUGUAAUGAAAGAGAUUAAGAAGAAUCAUGUUGGGUUUCAAAAGCAAGUUGAAGAGCUUGAAGAGCAUGUGUAUUUGUGCCUUGUUACUAUCAAUAGGGCAAGGUCUCAAGUGAUUAAGGAAAUGGUGACAAGUUCUUCUUGUGUGGAAGAAUUAAGGUAGUUACAGCAAUUAUAUACAAGAAAUGUGUUGUAUAAAGUGUAAAUUAAAUUUUCUUUUUCUGUAAAAUAUAAAUAUUAUAUUUAAGCUCUUAGUUAUGAAGAAGACUACUAUUUGGAACAUCAAUUUAAAUUAGAUCAGAUUGAAUUCGAUAGGACUGUAUAAUGGUCUUUUCAUUGAAUGAAGUGAUGUAUUGGAAAAUUUUAAAAAUAUUGUAUUUGAAUGAAAUAAUUUAAAUUUAUUUAUUACAUUUUCUAUGGAGUUUGGUUUAUAUGGUAGUGUAUGUAUUUGAAUGAUGCUUUUUAAUAAGUGAUGACUAUGACUCACCAAUUACCCACAUUGAUAUCGUUUCAUAAAAUUAAUUCAUGAUCAUCUAUUACCAACUUAUACUCAGAUUAGAUAAUAAUGAACAUUUUACAAUUUUCAACACUUAUAUAGAAGGUUUUUUUUUUUUUUUUAAGAAUUUCCAAGACACAUACUCACAAUUUUCAACACUUAUAUAGAAGGUGAACAUUUUACAAUUUUCAACACUUAUAUAGAAGGUUUUUUUUUUUUUUUUAAGAAUUUCCAAGACACAUACUCAAAUAAUUCUUUAUUACUCAUUAUCGUAAAAAAAUAGCACGCGGGUUUCCUUUCUCGAAUUCAAUAACUGCGAUUUCAAUCUUAAAAUAUUUGUUUUUUGUUUUUUGAUGCAGAAACAUGUCACAUGCGACACAAUCGAUCCUGGAAUUUGAUUGGGCCGAGGUUAGGCAUGUCCAUGGGAUGACAACUGUGGCCUCGAACAAGAUCAUAGCCAAUUAGCCAUUAUUAUUUUGGGUACAAUCUUAUGAGUAAAUGCAACUGAUAAUUAUUAUUAAGGUUCCAACUUUUUAGAUUAAAAAUUAACAUAUCACAUCUGUACAAUAAUUGUAUAGAACAUGAAUUGAAAAUUUAUGUUAAUAUAGCCGAGGUUCACUCUAAUUUUUUGAGAGAAAAAAUUGUUCUCGAAUUCUUCUUAUGAAAGAUUAAAUGUAAAUAAGAGAAUUUAUUUGUAGAUGAGUUCGUCAUCUGUCUAAAAUGAUUUCUAUUAAUAGUUCAUUAGCUUAACUUCUUUUAAAUUUUAAUGGAUAUUUAAAGCUUACACGUAAUCAACUAUAAGAAGACAAAUAGAUAAUAUAUUGAAAUUUUAAUAACUUAUUUGAAAAUAGAAAAAUUAAUGCACUCCAAUCCUUUCAGAAGACACAUAUUUUUUUUUAAGAUAGGUACACACAAAAUAUUUUGAGCUCUUUAUAAAUUAAAAAAAAAAAUUGUCUGCGACACUCUUGACUUUUUACUAUUAAAACAUGUCACACUAAAAAAUAAAAAAAUAAAAAAAUAAAAAAUUUUCUAAAUAAAAAAAAAAACUUGUAAAACAACAAACAUUUUAGUAAUAAUUUAAUCACGGUUCUUAAUCCGCUGCGGAAUAUCCCUUUCUAGAGCCUUUAUUUUAUUGUUGAACUAAUUUAAUGAUGAUUUAAAAAAGUUAAAUUAGGAGAGAGAGAAACCAACACGAGCCUGGCUUACUUUCAACGAGAAGUGCACAUGUGUCCUGAGGAGAGAGAGAGAGAGAAACCAUCCAAAUGCAUCCAAUUAGGAGCUGGCUAAGCUGGAUCUGUAAGUUACAGAAUCUGUAACUUAAGCCAGCUCCAUAAGAAAAAAACAACACGAGCCUGGCUUACUUUCCUGCAUGGAAAUUGAAUCGAGCCAACCAAGCCAGCAGCAGUCCCGAAGAUUCCGAAUCUCAAGAUACCCGUUAAUAUCUUUUUAAUAAAUGUUUAACAGACGGAAGAAAUUGUAGAAUUUAUUUUAUAAUAUGUGUAAACCGUGGUCCAAAAUUCUUAACGAGACACGUGUCACGCGGGGUCCAUCUAUGGUUUUCUGGAUACCGCACCCCAUUGGGCAUUGUCAGUUAAUAAAAUGGAAUUAGUGAAAAUAAUAAUCACGUCACUCAUAUUCACCAAAAAAUAAAUUGAUAUCUAAAUAAAAUAAAAUUCCAAAAUAUGUAACGUUCGAAAAGUGCUCAACUUCAAAUAUUUGAAGUAUGCAUAACAAAAUAGGUUACACACGUUUUUGCGUAAUUAUCAAAGAUUGUAUUAUGAUUUUGAAAGAGAAGGUUUAUAAUAAAGUCGUAAGCAUCACAAUAUGAUAAUGGAGUCAAAUAAUUUUUAGAGAAAAAGAGUUAUGAUUAUAAAUUAGUCACUGUCAGAUUUUAUAGUACGAUCACAGUCUCGUGUUAUCGCAACAAAAUUAUAGCUUGACCCGUAAUCUGUAACUGUAGAAAGCCAAUCUUUUCUUUACCCCUCUCAUCGUCAUUUGAUCUCUCAGCAUCAGCAAAACCCUCAUUUAAAAAAAAGAAAAUCACCAUUGGGUCCAUUUUUGGACAAAAUAUUCUAUCAUUUUUCGCCCCUCUCAGCACAAAAGUUCUAUCUUUUUUACUGGGUUUGCAAAAUCGUACGGCCUUUUUAAAUAUUUUUCAGCACAUAGUUCUAUAUACGGUGCUUCUGCGUGUUCUCUUCAACGAAUUAGUUUUAUAUUCACGAUUAAACGAAAUAGGUGGCCUUUUUUACUAUUAUUGCAAGUAAUUAACCAGGGAGUUGUUUUUUUUUUAAAAAAAAAAAAAUUUGUUUCACGUUUUAUUAGUCUUUUGGUUUCAUAUUUUGAAGUACUUUUAAUAGUAAACGUUAUGUGAAGGUUUGCAUAAUCUUUGUUGAUUUUUGCGUUCGUUCAGUGAUUAAAUUUGCUAAUAUUUUUUUCCCCUCCACCUACCAUUCUCUGCGUGUGAUUGACUAGUGGGUCUGUUUUCUUUGGUUUUAUUGGUGUAAAUAUAUCUUAAUUUUAGCAUUUUACAGUUGAUAAUUUAUAAAUUGUUUUGGACUUUGGUGGCAUUUAGCCACUCUGUUUCGACCCCAGAAUCUUGAUUCUGGGAGCUUUUGUUUGGGGUGUUUGUACUUGUGGGUUUCUGACUUUUUGAUGAAGGGUUCUGGAGCUCUUUGGUGAAUGUUAAUAUUCGGGGGUUUUUGUUGAAGGGUUUUAGGGAUAGUUUGAUUUGGAGUCUUUGGGAAAAUGGGGAAUUGUUUGCUGGUGGGUUUACUUGUUGCUGUUGUUGUCUCUCAUUUUGAGUUUUUGAAUUUUGGUGAUUCUGUUGUUAUAAGGUUUUUGAGUUGUUGGUCUGGUUAGCUGCAAUUGCUGUUCAAUUCAGAAAUUUGAGCAGUGAGAACUUAGAUUAGGUUGAGUUGUAGUGGCGAUUUUAGUGGUGAUUUUUUUUGUUAAAGCUACGCAUUUGAUAUAAUGAGGAGUAAUGGGUUUGAUCAUCCACUAAAAGAUGUAGACAAGGAGGAAGGUGUUAGAGGGAGCAAGACACUGAACAAGGACUUGGGGCAGACUGAUGGUAUUGAUGAACCAAUGAACAAGGAAUAUAUGUCUUCAGAAAAAGAAUACAAUGCACGCGCUUUUCAGAGUUUAGAAAAACAGAAGACAAAUUCAUUGGAGCAGUCACCAGUUGUGGGGAUUUCUCUGUCUAAAAAGGAGGAUGUUCAUUCUUCACCUCGAGCAAGUUAGUAUCAGAAAAAAAUCUUGUUUGUAUUUAUGCAUUUAGAGCUUAUAAUUGACAUUGUUAAAUCUUCUAGGUGAAACUUUUACAGUGGUUAAUUUCAUUGGAUGCUCAUUGCCAACAAUUUAAUUUAUUACUGAAUUAUAGAACUUUAGAGUGUAAUCUGGGCUGCGCAUCUUGAUUCUGUAGUUUUGUGAUACGCAGCUGAACAAUUACUUAGUUGUUUAUUCGCAUCUUUUGGUAGAGAGUAUAAGUUUAUGAAACAAUACUUUGUUUUUUGAGUAUAAAAACUUAAUGGCCAAACUUCAGAACUAGAUAAAUGAUGAAUGUUAUCACUUUCUUCAUCUACAACCUUUAUUAAGAUGUUUACUGACGCCAUAUUAUCGGCUGUUUGAAGGUUUGGAUCAUUGCAUUACUGCACCUAUUACACGUAGAGAUUCACUUACUGAUAUGAAUGAGUUCAGAUACUCAAGGUCCAUGACAGAGAAGAAGUCGAUGCCGAGGCAUGACCUGAAAUUGGAUAGACUGUCAGAGCGUGAAAAGGUAUAUAACAAAAAUCUCAUGCAUGUGACGAGUUUUUCUGCUCCUGCCUACUCAAGAGCAUGAAAAGGUAGAUAACAGAUUCACUCGCACAUGACUGCAAGUUUAAAUGCUAUUGCUUGCUUGUAUAUGUUCAAGUUUAUCAUGAUGCAACAGAUGCCAAUGUGUUUCCUAGAUGUUGCAAUACAUAUCUGGCUUAUUUCUCUAACUGCAUACAUAGCACACUGAAUGUGCUUCCCCCUGAUUUCUUUUGAGGGAAAAUAAUAGCUCUUAUAUUUGAUCAUCCUAUGUCAAUUUAAUCCCUAAUGUUGAGAAAGAAUAUUGAAAGUAUUGUUUUAUGGACAUCAUUAUUUUGUAAUUUAACAAUUGUGGAACUUGUUGCCUGGUUCUUUCUCUUGUAAUGAAGUGGUUAACUAGUUCUUUCACAUUUUGGGACAAUCUGUUAUGGUUUUUGGUUAAACAAUCAUUCUUUUACGUUCUUGAUUAUGGAAGGUGUAACGAAUGCUUGUCUUUUUUUAUCUUGCCCUCAAUGUGUCUGUAUUUGUUUCCAAAAUUAUCUUUCUUCUAUGAUACAUGAUUUCUACAAAUCUUUUCCCCUCAGAAAAAGCUGAUUGUGGAACUAGUCAGGAUUCAAAAUGACGGGACUGUAGAAGUGGAUUUAGAUAAAAGUACACCUGUAGCUUCAGAGUUUUUGGAAUUUCAACCUGUCGAAGGGCCACCUAUCAUUUUGGAUGACACCAGUUUUUCUGAUUCCAAGAAAUCGAUCCCAAGAUUGAAUAUUGCCAUACUUGUGGUUGGAACAAGAGGAGAUGUACAGCCAUUUCUGGCUAUGGCCAAGAGACUUCAGGCAUGCUUGACAUGAUUCAUUUUUCUUCCAGUUCAUGUUUGUUAAUAUUUGUUCUGUCACCACAAGUUUUUAUUUUCAAUGUAAUCUUAUUGCAUUAUGUAAGAGGUUAGGAUCAGCUUCUUUUGAGAUUUUAUUCUAUGCAUAAACCCUUUUGAAGGUUUCAUAUCGAGGCUUCUACAUGAUUUGAAUUAUUGAUCACUGUGUGUGAGUUAUGUCUACAUAUAUGUGGUUCCAAUGACGUUGUAUCUUAAUUGAUCUUCCAGCAUUUAAUUUGUCGUAGAAAAGCCUAGAUAAUUACAUAUUUUCUGUAAUAGUAAUCUAAUUAUUUGUAGUAAAAAAAUGUGUUUGGCCUUUUUCUGCAGGAGUUUGGUCAUCGUGUUAGGUUGGCAACCCAUGCUAACUUCAGGACUUUUGUAAGGUCAGCCGGGGUAGACUUCUUUCCUUUGGGCGGUGAUCCUCGGGUUUUGGCAGGAUGUAAGAGGUCCCUUACUUGAAAUUUUUUGUUUUAAUCUUUAACUGCAAUAUACUUUCUUUUUUUUUCAGUGGUUAUUUUGUUAUAGGAUCCAUGAUUUAUUGUUCUUUGUUAGGUAACUCCUUUGUGUUCUUUUCUUUUAGAUAUGGCACGGAAUAAAGGUCUGAUCCCUUCUGGACCGGGAGAAAUAUCGAUACAAAGAAAGCAGAUAAAGGCCAUUAUAGAAUCUCUUCUUCCAGCAUGCACAGAUCCGGAUAUAGAAACUGGUGUACCUUUUAGAUCUCAAGCAAUUAUUGCAAAUCCUCCUGCUUAUGGUGAGUCCAUGGGAAUGGAAUGCUGUAUUUUGCCUUAGUUGUAUAGUUAAAUGUUUACAAGAAAAUUUGUAAUUGUAUUUAUACAUAAGAAAUUUAAGUCCAUCCAUGGGGCAGUUGAACAUGAAUUUUACAUGAGGUCUACUUAAGCUGGAAGUUUGGGCAUGUAUGUUUCUCUAAUCCAUCUGAGUCCACUUUGAUAAUUGAGUCCUUGCUCAUCCCUCAUUGGUGCACAUAAUUUUGGAUCUUGAUGACAGUUGCUCAAGUGCAAAUAUUUGAUAGAAUAUUUAUUUUAAGACCUUUAAUUUGCUAUUUAAGCGUGAAUGGAAUUGAAAACAGGAAAAAGAACUGAUUCUAUAUCCAUAUGUUUUUUCAUGGUGAGGUAUCUCUUUAACCGAGCAUGAAAAUGAUAUUUGCUUGUUUCUGAGAGGGAACAAUUAUGCAAUAAGGAUAUGGAGCCAAAAGAGGAAGAACAAUUAUGAAGAUGAGGGCUGCAAAUGAAAUGCAUCUUAAAAUCAUUAGAUAAUCCCCAGUUGUUGACUAGUUAAUAAAUUACUUUCAGUUGUCUUUAUGCAGCUCGAAGUCAUAUAUGAUUUCAUCAGAAUUUUGUCAUUCAUGAUAACAUUUAUGAACUUACACUGCAAUUUUGAUUUUUCAUCUCAUUGAUCUCAUUCUAUUUUAAUUAUUGAUAUAUUUUUUUGAAUGGUGUAACAUUAAAUUUUGACAUCUUCUUUGGAUUGCAGGGCAUGCCCAUGUUGCUGAAGCUCUUGGUGUACCCAUUCACAUUUUCUUUACGAUGCCAUGGACGUGAGUUUUGACUAUCCUUGCACGUCAAUAUGUGUUUUAUAUUGCUUUUGUAACCCUAGUAUGAGGCCAUAAAUGUCGAACAUUUUUAAACUUGAAUACAAUUUCAUUGAUAAAAUAAUAGAACUCAAAAUACUAUUGUUGUUCCCUGACCUAUUAGCUUAAGUUUUUGGGUUGAUUGCUUUUUCAAUCAGUUUUUGUGUUGGCCUGUUAUAGCUUAAAAUGUACCAUUGUGAUUUUAUCUGUUAACAUAAGCUUUUGAGUAUGAUGAUAACUUAAUAAGUACACUUGAAAAACAAUGAAAUAGUUUAAUUCUUUCCAGUGUUAAAUUCUGUGACAUUGUCUGAUACUGUUUUUACUAGGUUGAAAUUAUUCAAGCAUAACAUCACUUCUUUCCUUGAAUUAUAUUUGGAGAGUGUAUUUGCAAAUUUUUCCUUUCAAGUAACUUAAAUUGGUCUUCAAUGUCAAGAACAAUGAAUUGGGUACAUGUCACAUGUGGUACCUUGACUGAAAAGAAUUCAAACUCUUGGGGAAAGGAGGAUUUGCUGAAAAAUAUGGCACGCAUAAAUCCUUUGUGCAAACAUGAUUACAAAAACGUUGACAUUGUUAAAGAACAGGGUUGCUGCAUUCUGGAUUGUCAUUUUCUGACUGCCAUGAAACUAAAAAUGCAGCAGGGCAAUUUUAAAUGGUAAAAUGGGGAGAUAUAGAACAAGAGCUAGUAUGAAUCCAAAUACGCAUGAGAUAAGUCAUGGACAACUGCAUGUUAUUGUCAAAAGCUGGUUAAUAUCAAGUAAAACUUUGUUUGAGACUUCCUACUUACUUCUAUUCUCAAUAGACAGGCCAACUUAUGAAUUUCCUCAUCCGCUGGCACGUGUACCCCAAAGUGCUGGAUAUUGGGUAUGUUCUUGACUGUGGCCAGUCCACCUUUUUUGCUCUCGCCUUUUUCAAUGUUGGUUUUUCCACUUUGUUGGUCAUGCCUGCUUACUUGCAUUGACAAAUCUGCCUUUACUGUCUCAUACUUGCUGAAUCCAGCUUUCUUAUAUAAUUGUGGAUUUGCUGAUAUGGUGGGGCAUUAGGAGCUAUAUUAAUGACUUCAGGAAAAGGAAGUUGAAGCUUCCCCCUAUUGCAUACUUCAGUACAUACCACGGAUCUAUAUCUCAUUUGCCAACAGCCUAUAUGUGGAGUCCCCAUCUUGUGCCAAAGCCAAGUGGUGGGUUUAUUACUGACAAUGGAAAUAUUUGCUCUUUCUAUAGGAUUGACUUCGUUCGCCUAUUGCAGAUUGGGGCUCUUUAGUUGAUGUUGUUGGAUAUUGCUUAUUAAACCUUGGGUCGAAGUAUCAACCACAAGAAAACUUUGUUCAGUGGAUUCAAAGAGGACCCGAACCUAUUUAUAUAGGGUUUGGUAGCAUGGUAUGUGACCUCACUAAAGCUUAUUGAAAUGAUUUAUAGUUCAAAUUUUCUUUGUUAUGUUUUCUUAUAGUUCCUUGUCAUUGUUGGAGGCCAUCAGGCCAAUAAACUGCAUUUUGAUGAUUUAGUGGGAGGGUUCCACAUUCCAGUCAGAGUAAUUUGACACUAUAGACCUUUUUAUGAGAAGGAAAUAAUGAAAAUUGGAACCUUCUCUGAUCUUUUGAAUUUUGAACUCUUUUGCCAGUGAAGAUUACUGCAAAAUUCUUAGACACUACACAAAAACAGAAGUCAAGAACACUAGUCUUGGAAAUUCAUCAGAAUCAUAAAGGAGUAAUUCUGAUUCCCCUUUUUGGGCCUCCGACCCCCUGUUAAAAUAAUUUCUAAUUUUCCCAUUGCUGAUGGUGUCCUAUGUUUUCUUUAAUAAUACUCUACAUGUAAUUGACUUUUGUGCAAAUACUUUAGCAAUAUUAUUGGAUUUUUUUUUUUUUUCCUUUCCCCCUGUUUCUUUUCAUGAAUGUUAGUAUUGAGAAUGCAAUUGUUACUUGUUAAGCCUCUUGAAGAUCCCAAGAAAACAACAGAGAUUAUAUUGGAGGCACUGCAGGAUACCGGACAAAGAGGAGUUAUUGAUCGAGGUUGGGGAGAUCUUGGAAAGAGUAUGUUGUUUCCUUUAUGUUUGCUGCUUUCUGGUUAGCUGGUUGAUGCUCAAAGAUUUUGCCGCAUGGCUAGGGAAUAAGUUACAAAUUAUAGUUUCUGGGUUGAUGUUUACCAAAUUUUGCUUCAUGCCUACCAGUGUACUAUAGAUGUCAUAAAGGCUGCAAUUGCACUUAAAUAAGGAACAUUAACUGAAGAUUUUUUCAUUAUGAUUUAUCUUUUUAUUUUAGAUGCAUUUACCUUGGUUGAUUGGUGCUUUUCAUCAACUCAGGCGAUACUUCUAUCUUGCAAUUGAUUACAUUUUAGGAAAUCAUUCAUUUUCAAACUAUUUGGAUCAAAUAUUCAGCGGCAAGGAUCAAAUUACAAAUAUUUGGAAAUCAUGAAUUUAUUACCAAGUUUUUCCAUGUAUAUUUCUUAAUUUUCCAAAUUUAUUUUUGGCCAUUAGUGUGCUAAAUGAUCAUUCUGAAAAUAAUAAUUUUAGGUUUUUCUAAUUUUCAAAUAUUAUUAUAACGGGUUCUUUGUGUUGUAUGAUGUGUUUGAUUUGUGUGUUUUCCAAUAAAUAAAUAGUGUAGGUGUCUAUUGCUAGUUUUGAAUAUUUUCACCAAUGAGUUAUGCAUUUCCCAACUUUUGCUUCUUAAUGCUUGUACUGUCAAAUGAUGAUAUUCUCAAGGGCCAGCUCCCAGAAAUAUUGAAACUUUGUAAAGUAUCUCAUAUAUGUAUUUAAAAUGACAUUAUUAUUAUUUUUUCCUAUUUACAAGAAAUAGACCUGUGGAACAUCUCUGACAAAUCAUUUCGCAUUCUACAGUUACAGAAGUUCCUGAUAAUAUAUUCCUUCUAGAGGAUUGCCCUCAUGAUUGGUUGUUUCCUCAAUGCUCUGCUGUGGUGAGUUUUCUUUUAUCCUUCCUAAAGUGAAUUUCUUUAUGUGGAUAUAUGUGGUUAUCGCUACUUCAGUGUGUAGCAUAAUUAAGGAAUGUAUGUUCAGAAAACAUAGCUGAUUGCAGCACCCAAAUUAGAGGUAAGAGGAAGAAUUUUGUGGUAGUGAAUAGAGAUGUGUUCUUAGUUUUGAAUAUGGGUGGACUUAUAACCAUCUAAUAUUGACUAUAACAUAAGAAUUUUAUGGCAGAUUAUAAAGAUUUUAAAUCAAAAAUUAUACCUCUAAAGAUAAAACCAAAAAAUGCUUCAUGUUGCUGUUGAAAAUUAGUUGUUGAAUAUGACAAACUUGAAAGAUAAAAUGAAUAUCAAGUUGUAAAGUUGUUUAUUUUUUUCCUCUACCGCACUAAUAAAAAACUUCUAAGAGCGUAAAACUUAUCAAGCUAUUUGGUGUGAGUUACAAGGCUCCAAUCUUUGCAAAAGGCACAAACUAUAUAUAUAUGCUGGAGUGAGACUAGAAAAAACAGUGUGUAAGGCAUGCCUCGCUCUGAUCCUCCAUGCCUUACUUCGCCAUGGAUGAUGUGAAAUUUUUAAUAGUGCAUUCUUCUUUGAGUGUGAUGCAAUUAUGUUUGUGAAAACUCAAUUAACUUGAAGCCUUAUGCCCUGGAUGUGCAGGUUCAUCAUGGAGGAGCUGGAACUACAGCUACAGGGCUAAAAGCUGGGGUAAUAUUCUGUAUUUUUUUUUCAUUAUUCUUCUGUACUGCAUUCUGAAAUAGAUCUUUUCAGAUGAGUCCAUAUAGUUAGAUCUUACGUUACGAAAGACACUUGGUCAUAUGUCUGACUGUUUGUAAUAUUCAACUGGCUGAUCUUGUCUAACAUCAAAUUUAUUAAUUAGUGUCCAACAACCGUUGUUCCUUUCUUCGGAGACCAGUUCUUUUGGGGCGACAGAGUGCAGCAGAAAGGGCUGGGACCUGCACCAAUACCAAUAUCUCAGCUUACUGUUGAAAACCUUUCAAAUGCUGUAAGAUUUAUGCUGCAGCCAGAGGUAAUUUUGGAGUUGGCAUUCCUUUUUCAGAAUCUGAAAAGUGACACCCACCAGAGACUUCAGAGAUUUUGGUUCUUAACUGGACUUUGGCUCUCUCAGGUGAAAUCCCGAGCAAUGGAGUUAGCGAAGUUGAUAGAGAACGAAGAUGGUGUUGCCGCUGCAGUUGAUGCAUUUCAUCGGCAUUUACCUGAUGAGAUACCAAUGCCUUCUUCGUUACCAGAAAAAGACGACGGGCCUGACCCUUUGCAGUGGUUUUUCAUUCAAAUUGGAAAUUGGUGCUGUCAGCGUUGUGGUGGUGUGUAAACUUCAUAGGUCAACCUAGUGUUUUAUAGGUACUGUUUUCCCUUUCCAAUUUUCUUUCUUUAUAUUUGUUGGUAUCAUUUUAGUUGAGCAAUCCAUUCUUUCAUUUGUGGCUUUUAUGUACCUGUUUGAUUGAUAGGAAUAGAAAAAGAAACAUACUGGUGUAGAUUUCUCAUUACAUUUGCGGUAGUAUCAUUUUUCUUGCAGUAGUAUCAUGUUUCUCCUGCCUGUGUAUAAUGACAGAUCAUUUUAUUAUAAGUAUUAUCGACUUAAGCUUGAUUAUCAAAUCUAUUUAUGUGCUGUCUAGCUUAUUUUGUUCUGAUUGAACAAAAUAUCAUGCCCAUAAAUGUGAGCAGGAUUCGAAUCUCACAAUUCCUACUUAUAACCAAAUAAUUAUCCAGUUUAAUGAUAAGGAUAUUAUCCUAUAACUACGGUUUUUUUUUUGUAUAAUUUUGUCACCAAAGUUUUCUGGCAAUUGCCGUUUUCCAUUUCAUGUUUCAGUUUUUAUCUGUUUAUCAUCAAACCAUUAACUCCAUUAAGAAAUUGCUUCUAAUAGGGGUUUUUUAGAAAUUGUAAUAUUUUUAGUAUUUUAAUAGUUUUAUGGUUUACAAUAUUUGUAAUUUUAUCAAUUGAUUAUUUUAAAUAUAUAAAAUAAUCAAUUGACAAAAACAUUAUGUCUUUGUAUAUAAUUAAUUUUAUAUUUUUUUAUUAUUCGAGGAUUAAAUUGUACUUACACAGUUUAGGAGUAAAAUAGUAAAAUAGACUUUUACUACAACUACUACUAAAAUUAUGUUAUUUUUAACAAUUUGGUAGAAAAAUGAUAAAAACUAAAACAAAAAGUGGGAAAAAUACAGUUGUCGUAAAAUUUUGGUGAGAAAGUGAAAUGUUAGAAAAUAUUUAAGUGGUAAAAUAAUAGUAUUGAUGUUAAUUGAAACAAUUAAAAAUAAAAAAUAAAACGAGCAUGAAAUUCAAUCAUACAGCAAUGUAUCUAUAGUAUAUUAGACAGCAACUAUACGAGUGUACAUAGUAGAAAGUUCCUCAUAUAAUAUAAUGUGUAUGGCUAACUUGCUACUAAAAUAGCAAGAUUUACACCCAUCAGUGAUUAUUUCUUGUAAAGUUUGAUAUCUCUCCAUCUUGAGUCCAUGUAAUUGCUCGAGCCUGCAGGAGCAGCAUAAACACCGCAUUUGAAAUACAAGUCUCCGGGUCCCUGAUCAUUCACCACAAACUUCUGUUCGCCGUCGAUGAAAACUGUGAUCUUCCCGUUUCCCACAUCAUGAAUGACAUUGAGUCUGAACCAUUUAUCGUACAGAUCUGUCGCCACUACGUUGAAUUUAUAGUAUUUCAUAUCUCCAUUAUAAAUUCUAAGUUGCAGGGUUGUGGCUCCCUCGGAUGCUCCAUGAAUCUGCAUAAUUGUUACGCCGGAUGUGCCUUUUGGGACAUAAGCAUAGCCCUCAAAUUGCCAAAUUCCGGAUGAGUAAUCAUGUCCCUGAAAUAGAGUCAAAAUACUUGAGAAACGUCCUGAAAAAUUCAGCUUAUGCCUUGAGGUACAAAUUAACUUGAACCUUCUACCUUUAUGCGCACUUCAGUACGCGGUCUGGUGCCGCUGCUAGACUUGAAGGGCUUGUCGUGGUUGUAAACCCAAAAACUUCGUACCCCAUCUUUGUAACUGUAACGAGUUCCCAGGGGUUCGUUGUAAGGUUUCUGUAAGACGAAAUUUUCCUCGGCUAACGCCACUUCAGUGAAUCCGUCAGUAGGAUCAGCGCCAAAAAUUUGAUGGCAUUUCAUAGAGCAUAUAACAAGUAACAACAGGAAGCUGUAGUGGCAAGACUUACUCAUUUUCCCAAAUUUUCUGGCAAGUACAGAACCUGUAAAGCUAAUUACCACCCCAGUAGUAUCUUGGAUGCAUUUUUAUAAUCAGAUUUUACAGGGGGUUUUUCGAGUCCAAACAAUAUUGAAAUCAGCUGGUUAAAUUUAUCUUCUUGUUGCGGGUAAAUAAAGUAAUAGGAAAACUUUUCGGCAAGUUUCUGACCAUUGACUGCUAUGAUUGUUUUUAUCAAAUCAAAGUGGGAAUUAUGUGCAAAGAAAAUUCAGCCAAUUAUUAUGACAAUUGAUAGCGAGUCUUAGGAAUACAACAUUGUUGUCUCUGUAAAUUGUCAUAUAGCAUCACUUCACUAGUUUGUCCUACAGUAUCCACGUCAUUUAGAGGUUUUGCUUUGUCAGAUUGAAUUAGUUUAUAUUAUUUUGCUUAUCCUUUACGGUAUAGCUUCGCUCAGAGAAAAUCAAAAUCAUUUUCGAUUGUCACUCUUUGUACACACAUAACCGGAAUAAAUUUUUAUCCUGCAGUAAGAGUGAUCUAAAUUUUUAUCCAGAGGAGAACGAUUAUAUUAUAUACAUGUAUGUAUCCUAUUCUUCAGCUUCCAAUUUCCACAAGUAAACUGGGGACACCACAUUAUGUUUCCAUUUCAUCAAAUUCAUGUUAAUGUUAUCCUAUUCAUAUAUAAAAUCCCACAUAACAGAUUGCCUUUUUGACAUUUUUGACACCGCCAUUAGAAAAGGCUAAGGUUCGUCAUCAUAUUUUUUAUUUUUUUUAAUCAAUGCUUAUGCUCUUGAUUUUCUCCACCCAUAAUUUAUUGAACUGUCGAAACAAAUUUAGUGCAAGUUUGGGCAUCGAUGGAUUUUGCUUAAAACAUGUAAACCCUAUCACACAGGCUUUUUGUUCUCUGCUUGUUUCCAUUUCAUUAUCACUUUUGCUUCUCAAACUGCCAUCACAUUGUUGUUUAUUUGCUUUCCAUAACUAACCUCAAUUUCUAAUUGGAGAAUGAUGCUGCUGCCAACUUUGUCUUUUGUAGCAUUGAGAAGCCUAAGGUUAUUUUGUUUGAUUACUUAAAACUUCUUAAUGUUGACAUUUCUGGCCCCAGUUUGAAUAUUUUGUCCAAAUUAUUGUCUCAACUCAAAUUUCGGAAGUAAUAUCAUUGAUAUUGGAUUGAUUCCUCAUCAGACUUGUGCAUGAUUUAUUCUCUUAACAUUUUCUGAAGGGGGUUCGUUGUGUUCCUUUGGAUGUCUUCUUGUUACUGUCAGGUAUAUGGAAUCUAAACUGGGGAAUAUAUUUGCAGUUUAAUUUCCUAAAUAUAUAUUGUAAAAUUUAUUCUAAAAGGGGAUCACACGCAGUGCUUUGCGGAAUUGAAAAUGAUUCAAUGAGUCCAGGACAUGCAAUUUUUCCAAGCUCAUUAACCUAAGAUUUUCCCAACUUAAUAACGCUUUCUGGGUGAAAGAUGCUUGUAAGGACAGGGGCACUUGUUACAUCCCCACAAGUGAAUGCGAAUCUUAAACAAUCUAUAAGUCUCUGAUAUCUCUACUCAGUUUCCCGGACUGGACGCCGGUCUAUUAAUUUCUUCAUAGUCACAGCUCCAACGUUACACAAUUUACACAACAGAGCACACAGCUAGCAUCAUAAAACCUCCGAAAUUUAUUUCUCAACCCAAGGUGAUAACAAUGAGCUACAUUAUUCUUAAGUUCAGGAUUCACACUUCUUAAAAAUUUUGAUGUCUCUCCACCUAGACUCCAUGUAAUAGCUUAUAUUAGCAGGAGCAGCAUAAACUCCACAUUUGAAAUACAAGUCCCCUGGCCCUUUAUCCUUAGUAGCAAAUUUUUGAACACCAUCAAUAAAAACAGUUACCAUCCCACCAUCCACAUCAUGAAUGAUAUUAAGCCGAAACCACUUGUCGUACAGGUCAGUAGCCACCAGAUCAAAGCUGUAGUACCUCAUGUCGCCGUUAUAGAUCCUUAGGAUCAACGUAGUAGCCCCGUGAGCUGCGCCGUGAAUCUGAGCUAUUGUAGCACCAGAGGUUCCGUUUGGCACAAAACCAUACCCUUCAAAUUGCCACACUCCUGACGAAUAGUCCACGCCCUGCAGAAAUUCAAAAGAUUAAAGAACUUAACAGCAAAGUGUCACAUCUUUAAUCUUCUUUUAGAAACCCACAAACAUAUUUGAUAUUUUGCUGAAUUUAAUUAAGGUUACGCGUAUGCGGAUUUCUGUGCGCGGUUGGGUGAGACUGUUGGGAUCAUGAGGCUUGUCAUCAGCAUAGACCCAUAAUUUGUGCACCCCAUUUUCAUAGCUGUAACGUUCUUCCAGUGGUACAUCAUAUGGUCUUUGCAGUUCCAAGUUUUCAGGUGUCAAUGCCAUGGGGCUGAAGCCAUAUGUGGGAUCGGCAGAAGCAUAACACAGAAUGAUUUUGAACUUGUUCAGUAAAACCACAAGAAGAACAAAGGGAAGCAUGUAGCUUUUGGGCUCAACCAUUUUGGUCAGUCACUUUGCCUGGACUUGAGAUGCUCUGUGAAGCACUAGCCACCAGGCAAGUAAAUACAUAUAUAUAACUCAAGUAACCAAUUCUUCCAAUCAUGCCUUGCUAUGAAAUAAUAAAUGUUAUCUUAUCCACCUAAUGUGUCAAGGUGACAACACUCCUUGCUAAAUAAAAUUUUAGGAAAGACCCACAACUAUUUAUUUUUUUUCCUUUAGAAAAGUAGAAUAUUCAAUUUUCCUUAGCCGUAUUAAAUUUCUCGUCACGCUAUUGGGCCUUAUACACCUUGCGCCUGCCAUCUUCUUUCAUUGGGCCUGAGAUCCAAUAAUAUUGUUUUUAAUUGUUAAUUUUUUGAAUAAAUGAGUAGCAAAAAUAAAAACUAAUUAACUUUUAAAUGGGCUUUUAAUCUGCAAACACAAUCAACAGCUUAUUAAUUAACCUAUUCACAUAAUAAUUAAUAACUGGAUAGCUUUAUUACCAUUUCUACCAAUAAUAAAUUAAUAAUAAUAACAAACUUCAAUUAUGUACAGUUAGGAGACCAAAGUCUUCAGCUUGAGUUCACUACACUCCAGUGACAUUCCUUCGUCGGAGAUCAUGCGGUUGCCGGCGGCGAGGAGCGGCGGAGGUCUGGGCAUCGCCGCCAUGUCUUACAUCUUAAUAGACUACCUGCGCCACCUGUCUCCGGCGUGGCACGCGCGCUUGCAGCCGGUGCUCUGGACCGUACUGGCUCUGAUCGCCAUCACACGUGUCCCCUAUUACAGGCACUGGACCGCCGAGUUCCGGGCGGCAAUUCCAUUCGUGGGUUCAAUGAUUUUCAUGCUAUCUGCUCUUCUCUUCGAGGCUCUCUCCGUUCGCUUCGCUACUGCAGUGCUUGGCCUUGAUUGGCACAGGUAACUGUGCUGGACAUAAAGAUAUAAACCUUUUGUGGUUUGUUUGAUUCUGUUGGUCAGUUUUAUAUUUUUAUUCUUUUUGGAUCUAAUAAUGUUGCGAGGCAACCUCUACUGUAGAAUGGAAUUGAUGACCCAGGAACUUAUCAUUUUGUUUUUCCUUAAUCGUCUUUCAAAUUCCGUAUUUACUGGUGAACUUAGCUCAAAAGUACUGAUGACCAAGCAACUUAACAUUUUCUUAAUUGUCAAAUCAUUGUAGCUUUAAUGUCCCUGUAUUCAUCACAAACCGUAUGGAACAUUUAUGACUUUAAAUCUGGUGUUGAUUAAUGUGUAAUGUUCACAUGAAUUAUCUUCUGCAUCUCUAGGUUUUUCUACUUCCCUUGAGUUGAGAGACAAUACCUUUCAGUUUUUAGCUAUUUCAUCUUUGAGUAUCUCCAAUGCUUUAAAAACAGGAUUAUUGAUUGGCUUGGCAAUGUCCAACAGUGAUACAGAUCCUCUGCCUGAUACUGGUCAGUGGUUGCUCCUGGCAUUAAAUGAGAAACUUCCUGGAACAAUAGUCCAAAUAUUGAGAGCUCGUAUCAUUGGGCUACACCACUUUCUGAUGUUGUUUAUGAUGCUGGCUUUCUCUGUACUAUUUGACUCUGUAGAAGCUCCUGGCCUUGGGCUAGGUGCAAGGUAUAUGUUCACUAUGGCAGUCGGCCGACUCCUUCGGGCCAUAACAUUUGUAUCUACCAUUCUGCCGUCAGCCCGGCCUUGGUGCGCUUCGGCAAGGUUUAGAGUCCCCGCGUACCCUCAUUACUGGGCACAGAAAUAUUAUGUGCCUUAUGCUUCAGAUGCCAGUGCUAUUCGUCAGAUUAUAAAUCAGGAUAUGGCUUAUGGUAUGUGUUGCUUAUCAAAUUCAAUUUGCGUUGUCUCCUUGGCUAUCUGGAUUUAGUGUCUGAGUAUCUUCAUUUUUUGCUGGGAGUCUGGGACCCCAAUUGGAUGUGCUGCAGAGUGCUCAGUCAGCUUCUGUUUUGUGUUGAUACUCUUUUGUUUUCCAUUCGGCUCCUCUCCUUCAUUUCUUCCAACUGAACAUGGACUUAGGAUUUAGGUAAUGGAUGAUGUUCAAUGGCCCUAUACUGACCACUAUAAUUCAACUGAUAAAAGCAAAUUAUUCUGAUUAUCAAGUCAUGCAAUCAAGUGCUUGUGGCUCAUGCCAGAUGAAAUAGAUUCAAGAUUCCUAACUGUCUUUUCUAGAUAGACUAAACUUUACUGAUGAAAUAUGACAGUACCUAUCUUAUAUGAGGCAUUCGUUCUUCAAUAUGAUGUGCUAUCCUAAAUUCAUAUUAAGUUUGUCUCAAUGACUGGAAGGGUCCUGUUAACACCUCUAUUAUCUUUUUCAGCUGAUGUUGGUAAUUAUCCGAGUGACUAUCGACUGGAUUGGGGUUCUAUGAGUUUCUUAAUUGACUUCCUGCGACCGACUGCAUCAGAAGGAUCUUCAUGGUUCAGUCUGCUGAAGAAAGCUGGUGGUGGCUGCAAUGACCUUAUAUACAGUGGUCACAUGCUUGUUGCUGUACUGACAGCUAUGGCUUGGACGGUAUUCAUACAAAUCCAUUGUCAAGCAAUGAGAAUAAAUGACUAAUUACAUACUCUUAUCAGCCUUUGUUUCUUAAAAUGAUUGCAGGAGGCUUACGGAGGCUUUAGCUCGGCUCUCGUAUGGCUGCUUGUAAUGCACAGUGCCCAGAGAGAAGUUCGGGAACGCCACCACUACUCUGUGGACUGCAUUGUGGCAAUAUACGUAGGCAUCCUCCUCUGGAAGAUGACAGGUUUUAUCUGGCCACUCAAGGAUGCAUCCAAGAGUAAACGGCUCAACAAACUUGAUAAAAUCCAAAGUAGACUACUCCAAGCCGCUAAAGACUCGGACAUGGACAAGGUAACCGAGCUUCUCAAAGAAGUUGAGCUAGGCGGUCAAGAAACCCAAAACAAAGGCCCCAGCAAGGGCCUGUGGUUGUUUGCAUGCGCCAUAAUUUUCUUUGCACUCACCAUUGUUGUACUCGCCUUCACGUUGACGAGCGAUGGAUGAUUUUUUUUCCGAUCUGGACAUUGUUGUAUUUCUAUGUAGUGCAACAUUUUGUUAACGGGGAAAGGUUUUGAUUUUUAUGCUGCCAGAAAUGGUGUUGGGAGUAAUAAGACAAUUUUAGCAGACAAUUUUAGCGGCAUAACAAAUUAACAAUUAACACGUUGAUACAAAGGAUGACUUGUAGCUGUAUUAUGUGACCUUUAGGUAGCUCCUUGGCUUUUUUCUGUUGCUUGGGCUUUCUUAUUUGGAUGAUGAUUGGAUCCUUGAAAUUAUGUUUGAGUUGGACUAUUGGCACCUCUCUCGUCUCCUCAUAAAACCUCUUUUUUAGUUAUAUUCAUUUUAUUUCUGAAAAUAUUUUUUUUUUUAGAUACACUUUUCUAAGUUCUUAAUUUUUAUUUGAUUUGUUUUAUUAUUAAAACUCAAAGUAUUAUUGUACUAUUUUUUAUUUUCAAUUUUAUUAUUAAUCUACACACAAAUUAAAAAGUUAUAUGGGUGAUAAAUUUUUUAGUGUUAAUCAUUGGCUGAAAUAAAACAUAUUUCAAAUUAUAAUUUCAAAGUAAUUUUAAGUAUAAAAAUAUUUAAUCAAUAAAAAAUUAAAAGAGAACAAUAUAUUAUUUUAAAUUUGUAUAAUUUAUUUUAGUUAAAUAGGAAGUAACAUAUAUAUAUUGAAAAGAAUUGAUUAUGAAUUAAGUAAUUUGCUGGAAAAAAAAAUCUUUAUGUGUUUAAUUUUUAAUUGUCUUUAAUUAUAAUUUUAUUUAAAGUGGGGUUUUGUAAGAAAAAUGUAGGGGUGCCAAUAGCUCCACUCAUUAUGUUUUUAUUUAUUUUUCAAUAUUUAUUAUGAAUCCUUUUGUCAACUCCUUUUAUGACCAUUUUGUCAGUUUUGUAUAUAAACAUCUAAAUCAUGAAAAAUAGUCAUAGUUAUGUUUAAAGGAAAAAGUAAAAGAAAAAUUAAUUACAUUCACCAGAUGAAUUUCAAAAUAAAAAUGCCACGUGGGAUUAAAAUUCUCCAAAAAAAAAGGCUGAACACUCUUAAAGUCCCGUCACUAGCAAGGAAAAAAGAAAAAAAAAAGUUCAGAAGCAGAUAUUCUUCAGAGCUUAAACGAGAGUCUUUUGCAACCGUCCGAUAUAAACACAAAAGAAAAUUUCCAACCAUCCGACGAUUCACAAUACGCCGAUCUAGUGAAUUAUCCUACUAUCUGCCCAGCAAAUUCAUGCCGCGGUUAUCUAUCUUGCCUCCGCAUUGCACCUACCAAAUAAACAGAUUCUUUUUCCCCUCCAAACCUGUUGCUCUCUGUCGAUUACAUCCAAAAUACAGAGCUAAAAUAUUUAUUUUAGGAAAAAGUUUGAAAGUCAAUUGCAAUGGCGAUUUCUUUGACGGCGUCUACAAUUCCUUCAUUAAAUGCAAAAGUGUCCGCUAGCAGUUCAUCAAAACUCUCUCGGCUGUCUUCUCUGCAAUUCCCCGUGCAGUUGCGCCGCCUUCGAAUUUCUAACGGCUCGAGAACUUCAUCUUCCUCCAAACGUCGCUUGCUGCCAGUGGUACUCUUUGAUUUUGCUUUGUUUUGAGUAGUUUUUAAUUAAUAUUUGUUUACGAGUUCCUUAAUUGAAAUAAUUACUUUCGGUAGGUUGAAGCGAAGAAGCAAACAUUUUCGUCACUUGAUGAUUUGCUGCAGAAAUCUGACAAGCCUGUGUUGGUUGACUUCUAUGCCACCUGGUAAUUUUCAUCCUUCGCUCAAGAAAAUUUUAACAUUGUAUAAUGAACAUCAAGUUGAUUACUUAGGCUAUAUUUUUUACUUAAUUUUAAUAACAAAGUAGCUAAAUUGUUUGGUGAGCAUUCUUUUUUAUGGCAGCUAAUGUUGAUUGCCUAGCCACUUGCCUAUACUUGUCAGCCAGUAAUUUCAUUCCACAGCUUCUGAUUUUGUUUUUGUCUUGUUUGUUAACAGUUACCAUCUAGUGUUUGCACUUCAAGUUUGUUAAAAGGUUUUAUAAAUUGAAACAUAGACAACUCGUGAUAUGGUUUGCAGGUGUGGUCCUUGUCAGUACAUGGCUCCUAUCCUCAAUGAAGUUGGUGCUGCUCUGAAAGAUAAGAUUCAGGUGGUCAAAAUCGAUACUGAGAAGUACCCUCAGAUCGCUGAUACAUACAGAAUAGAGGCCUUGCCAACUUUCAUUCUAUUUAAGGACGGGAAACCUUCUGAUCGCUUCGUAAGUCAAUUUAAUAUUGUUUUUUUUGUUUUCCUUGAAAAUUUAAUUUGUGCAUCUUUACAAAAUCAUUGUUUAUUCUCGGUGAAAAUGCAUUAAAGUGUCAAGUGACUACUAUGAAUAACCUGAAGAUCCUCUCUUUCCCAUGCCUGUAAAUUUUGGUGUUGAUAUUUGGAUUUGGAAAUUCUUUUCAAGCAUUGUCUUUCACUUUAUUGGAUUCCGUUAUAAUCGAUGUGUAGCUCUGAGGGUUAUCCAAUAUUCCAAAGUUUGUUGCUAGGCCUGGGAUAUUUCCUUUACAUAGAUAGUAUCAUCAUCAAUAACUUAUGCAUUUUGUUGUUUGAGCCACUGGUGUAUUUUUGACUCAGUUAACUGGCAUCAGCAGUAUGCGCAUAUUGUCAUUGUAUGAUUCUUUUUUGCUUUUCAGUUACUUUUUCUGGUAGCUGUUGCCACAGGUUAGUUCUUUCAUAUGCCUGUGGACAUUAAGUUCAAUAACAAUCCUGAUGGUUGAUUGUUUUCAGGAGGGUGCUUUUUCUAAAGAUCAGCUUAUCCAACGCAUUGAGAAUUCAUUGAGCGUCAAGCAAUAGUUGUGGUGAGCUCUAGUUUUUAUUUAUUUCUACUUUUGAGUCUGCCCCAAUGAGUCUAUGUCCUCAAAGAGCCCUUUUAAUUGCCAUUCUCCUGUUGGCUCACUCUCUGCUAUUUUUGAUGUUUUGCAGUUUCUCAGGUUCUACCAGGAAACCAAUGUAAUCAAGUUGUUAGAUUGGAAUAUUGAAUUCAGUAAACAGGGAAUUCACAAGGAAAUUGCCUUUUCGUUUCUUUCCAUUUUUUAUUUUCGAAUCUCUUGUAUUUUUACCUAAAUUUUAUGACCUAUUUUUUUUAGGUUAUGCUGCUGAUUUUUUUACAAUAAAAAAUUUUGAUGACCUACUGUAUUGAAAUUUUGGUGUGAAUUCAUCAUGUUAAUGGUGCUGUCAUGGCAGUUUCUGUGUCUCUUUAGUUUGUUCAAUGAUCUUGGUCUGCAGUAUAGUGGAUGACUACUGACUAGUAAUAAGGGCUCACUCGACACAGUAAAGGGCAUAUAAGAUCCUCCAGAAUGACCAAUGCUUUUCAAGUUUCUUGACUCUAAAUAAUAUACAUUUUAAUUAAGGUUGUAGAUUUCAAGUAUAAUGCAUUGCGAUAUCAUCGCUUUAUCUAUAUUUUCCUUGAAGUUUUAAUAAUAUAGUUACAAAUUCUUAUAUAAAUUUAUUUUGUACCAAUUGAUAUGACAUAAUUAAAUUAAUUGAAUUAAAUAUUUCUUGAUUCACUAUAUUUAUUUUUAUUAUUUUAAAUUUUUUUAAUUAAUGAAUUAAUAUCAAAUCAGUUUGUCCAAACUUAUUUUUACAAAAAUUGAUGAUUGUAUCUUAUAGACUCCUCAUAAUUUGCGGGGAAGGAAAUUGUAGGCUUUUGUUUUUGUUAUUGUGUUUUUUUUUAAUUGUAGGCUUUUGUUUUUGUUAUUAGACUCCUCAUAAUUUGCGGGGAAGGAAAUUGUAGGCUUUUGUUUUUGUUAUUUGUUUUUUUUUUUUUCCGGUUUUUAUGAAAACAAUUGAGUGGAAAAAGCUAUUAGCUAUCUAAUUAACUGGUGUUACUAAAACAACCCUGAUUGGUGUCAACGCUGAAUUAAUAAUAGCGGUGAGCAAGGGGGGUAGGGCCGUCUAUUAAAUGAGAUUAUACCAUAUACCGUCCAGGUGAGAAAUUGCCAAACCCCGAGGGAGGUAAGCGAUAUUACCCUUUCCUAUUCUACUUAUUGACUCCUUCUCUGGCAUCGGCUGAUCAGCAACGGGGAGAUGGAAAUGGAAAUGCGUGCGAGUGAGGAAAUAAGGCAAGGUGAAGACAUAACGCCACCAUUAUUUCCUCUCACUUUCGCAUUUCACGACUCUUUACUCGACGGUCACUGUUCGUCUUGCUUCUCUCCACUUCCUUGUUGCUGCUCUUCCCUCCCCCUCUCCUCCGCCGAACUCCGCGCCGCUCUCUACCUCCUCCACUCCCCUCUUCCCACUUCCUCUCUUCCUCCUCCUCCUCGUCUCUUCGGCUUACUCACCAACCGCGAUAAGCUAAUGUCUUCCUCCGACUCCGAUGUUGCGUCCAAAAUUCGAGAAGGAGCGAGGGAGAUGGCGAGAGCGAGAGGGAAUUUGUCCGACGACGUCGCUUGGGAGGAGGCUGCGUUGUGUUUGGUGAUGACCAAUGCCGUUGAGGUGCAGGAUGAUAAGACAGGGCGUAUUUUAGGUAUCGCCGUGUACGAUAAGGAUUUCUCUUGGAUCAAUCACAGUUGUUCUCCCAACGCUUGUUACCGCUUCUCGCUUUCUGAGCCAAAUGCUCCGUCGUUUCGCAAUGAAAAGAAAAUGCGGAUUGCUCCUCACGUUGUUUUCGACAGCACUGAGGCUGAAACUCCAGUAAAAUCCCAGCUAUGUUGAAAUUUUUUUGAAUUUUUUAACUGACUUGAGCAAGUCGAUAAUUGAUUUGAUGCAGGGAAAGAGUGAUGUUUGUAUCAGUUGUGAAUUAAAAGAAGGUUGCUAAUGCUAAUUGUUGUUCAUUUCUAUAUAAAUUUUGCACAUUGUUUGAUUUUUGCCGUUCUGAAUUUCAUUUAAUUUUAUUUUCAAGGAAGUAAGAGACAUGGUCCAAGGAUCAUUGUAAGGAGUAUUAAGCCAAUUAACAAAGGCGAGGAGGUAACUGUUGCUUACACUGAUUUGUUGCAACCCAAGGUACUACAUUCCAUUUAAAAUCAGCUGAUCAGGCAUGUGUUUUAUUUGAUAAUUUUGCAUAAUUCUAAUUGUUCAAACCAAUUUUAUUUUUGUUCAGGGAAUGAGGCAAUCAGAGUUGUGGUCAAAGUAUCAAUUUGUCUGUCACUGUAGGCGAUGCUCUGCAUCACCCCCAAGUUAUGUAGAUAUGGCCUUAGAGGUAAAAACUUUAUGUAAAUUGUCCGCGGGAAGAUCUCAGUUGCAAACAAGUUGGGCGACAAGUAUUGAACUCUCGAGGGCUUUUUUUUGUUCUUUCCCCAGGAAACCUUUUCUUCAAAUCCCGAGUUUUUGAGCUUGAGUUCUGAUUACAACUUCCUCAAGGACGAGGCAAAUCAAAAGUUGACUGAUUGGAUGGAUGAAGGUACAUCUGAAUAUCUAUUAGUUGGUGAUCCUGAAUCUUGCUGCCAGAAGCUGGAGAACAUCCUUACCCAAGGUCUGCAGGGUGAGCUUUUAGAAUCCGAAAAAGUGAAAAUACAGCUGAAUUUGAGGUUGCAUCCCCUGCACCAUCUCUCACUGAAUGCCUAUACAACACUGGCAUCUGCAUAUAAAAUCCGUUCAAUUGACUUAUUAGCUCUCAAUUCUGACAUUGACGGACAGCAAUUGGAAGCUUUUGAUAUGAGCAGGACAAGUGCCGCAUACUCAUUACUGCUUGCUAGUACGACUGACCAUUUGUUCCGAUCUGAGUCAUCUCUGAUUGCAGCGUCUGCAAAUUUCUGGGCAAGUGCAGGGGAGUCCUUGUUAACUCUUGCUAGAAGCCCAGGGUGGAAUUUAUUUGUGAAACCGGAAUUGCCUAUUUCAACCUCGUCCCCUGAGAUUCAUGAGUGCUCCAAGUGCUCACUAGUGGACAGAUUGCAAGUGAAUCCAUUUCUUAGUCAAUCUCGAAAUGCCGAUUUCCAGAUCAUAUGUAAUGAGUUUCUUGCUUGCAUCACUAAUAUGACACGAAAAGUUUGGGGUUUUCUUACACAUGGAUGUGGGUACCUGCAAAUGUUGAAAGAUCCCAUUGAUUUCAGCUGGCUUCGGCAGUCUUCCAAUUUGUGCCACACUCCAUGCUGCAGUGAUGAGGAAUCCAAUAAGGAAACCGGGUAUCAAGAAAGUAUUUGCAGAAGGGUAAUGCAGCGGUGUGAUGGUGAAGAAAGGAUUACUAUCUUUCAGCUUGGUGUUCAUUGUAUAGCUUAUGGAGGAUAUUUAGCAAAUAUAUGCUAUGGUCCGAAUUCCCAUUGGCCUUGUAAAAUUAAAAAUGUUGUACAAAACGAAGAGAAAUUGGUUCAUUGUUGAAAGAAUUUUCAAUUUUCCUUGCCAGUUAAAUUUUAAAGAACUAUAUGUGAAAGCGCCACUAGAAAUGACUAAUAUGUUUGAUCUGCCAUGCUUUGUGAGAUCCUUAAUAUGAAAUUCUCCUCUAAAUCGCAUAUGAAGGAAGAUGAAUAGAUGAAUAGAUGAUCAAAAGCGCUAGUCAGACAUAAGAGGUCGUGAAAUGGGCAUGGGGGCAUGGGCCAUGACUAUUUUGUAUCGAAAACAGAAUAAUUCCAAUUCACACCUUUAAGUACACCAACGCGGUUCGGGGAGUCCAACUUCAAGAGUAAUGCACCGAUUUUUUUUCCAAAAAAAGAAAGAAAGAAAUUGUUACAAUCCACCUGUACAUUAAUCUACUGGAAGCCUAUAUACAUACAUUUUAUAUAACAGAAUUUCAGAUUUGGAAAUCCACCCUUAUAUACCACUGGGGUUCAAAUCCAAUGUAAUGCAGUGAUGUUAGAUCUGAAUUUUAUUUGCACAAUUUUCAAAACUAAUUGUUAGAGUUUUGGAUCAUCUAAAUUGUUAGACAGAAAUUAAGUAGGAAUGGCAAUGGGGCAGAUAUGGGUUGGAUCUACUCUGCUCCAGAUCCAAAUCCAUAAUAAAAAUUAAGAUCCGUAUCUGCUCCAGAUCCGUUAUGAAUCCAUAUUUUUCGCUCCAUAUCCAGAUCCAAAAGAGAAAUAAAUAUCUAUAUCUGCUCCAAAUCCGAAAAAAAAUUAAUAUCCAAAUCUGCUCUAGAUCCGUCAUGAAUUCUAAAAUUCCGUAAUAAAAAAGUAAUAAUUUUUUAGAUUGAAAAUUGAAGGCUAAAAUGUAUUGAUAACAAAUAAAUUAUAUAAUUUUUCUCAAAAAUAUAAUAAAUAUUGUAGCUUAUACUUCUACACCAAAACAACAAAUAAGAAAGAUAAUAAAAUAUCAUUCAGAAGUAAUUGCAGGAGUAAGAUCAAUCUAAUAUUUUAUUGUCUCAUUCAUCAUUCUAGUAUCCACGAUACACCUACCCUCAUUUUUAAGUUUUAAGAGUUUAAAUUCAUGGUAAAUACUACUAAUAUGCUAUGAAUAAAAUUUAUUAUCAUUAUCAUUCCACAAUUAUUAAGAAACUUUUAAAAUAAAAUAAAAUUAAAAGAUGAGUGGAUAUGGAUAUAGAUUUAGAUAUUAAGAUAGAUCCAUAUCUGCUCCAGAUCCGUCUUAGAUCCGUACAUCGAUAUCCAAAUCCGAUCCAAAUCCAUUUUAAACCGAUCCAAAUCCGAUCCAAUUGGAUUUGGAUCACAUGGAUAUUGGAUCAAAUCCAAUCCAUUGCCAUCCCUAAAAUUAAGUCUAUGCUGUCUCACUACUUCUUUAUUGAAUACGAUACAAGUGUGCGUACAUAAAUGUAUUUCGAUGUUUAAUUAUGAUUUUUUUUUAUCACUACUUUAAUCACAAUUCAAUUUUUUUUUUUCUGUAAAUUUUUUUAUACUAUUUCAAGAGAUUUUAUUGCCAGUGUAAGCUAACCAAUAAACAACAAUAUUACUCGUCAAAAAAAGAACAAAUAACAAUAUUGAAUGGAAAGUUUUCUAUCACAAGCACACAUAUGUGAGGCGAAUGUAAUGUUCUUCCAGAAAAGCUUUUGGUGACCUCUCAGUAGGCUAAAUAAAGCAUUAAUAUUUCAUGUGAUGCCUGUAUGGUCUGUUUCAAUUGAUAUAAGAAGUAUCAAUGAUUUAGAGGAGCUGUUGCUUAAUGAAUUAAGCUCCUUCAUACACGUUGUAAUUGGGGAUUGUAGCUUCUCCUUACGUGUAUGGUGGAGCUGGAAGCAUGUGGCCUCAAUGGAACCCAAAUCUCCUUCAUUAGUGUCAAAACAAUUUAGUUGUUGAAUCAAUUAGCACUCGCUAGUGUCCGAAUUAGUUUCUAAUUGCACAAAAAUUAACUAAAAUGGAACACUAGUGCUGAGCUUAUCCAAUAAUUUAGCUUAAGAGAUUAAUUUAAUUGAACUUACGUGUCAUUACUUUUUUUGGUCUGUGAUCACUCGAUUUUAAUACUAAUUUUGAACCCCUUCCAAUCAAACAUGAACAGUUGGCCUUACCUCGAUCCUAUACAUGACAUAAAAUCAAGCAAAUCAAGAGGGGUCUUAAUUAAACGUUAGAACAUUAGGUUACGCAAUUGUUAACAUCACAUUACCGAAUCAAUCAGACCCCCACCCAUCAAAGUUCAUCAACCACACAAACCGAUUUUAGUACUUUUCCAUCGAUCAUUAUCCUACCUAUAAACGUGGCUGCACGAUCUUGUUUCCAUGGGACCCAUAAAUAAGGCAAGUCCAUACUCAUAUUUUAAUAUACAGCUGCAUUGAUUUAUUAAUAGUUUCAUCUAAUUAGAGAUAAUAUAAUCAUGAUGAUGCAGUUAAAUUUUAUAUAACCAUCAAUUAUAUGUUAGUUCUUUAAAAUAAAUUUAUAAAUUUAAUAAUAUUAUUUUAUUUAUUAUAUGAUUGAUAUAAUACUUUAAAGGUAUUCUAAAAUUUCUCCACCUCUACAUAUAUAUAUAUAUGUACACAUGUCAAAUGACUUAUGCCUCUAAGCUUUAUUUCCAACACCAACGUCUCUAAGCUCCCAACGUUUUGGAUUUCAACAUUGUUUUUUUUUUUUUUUUUUAAUUUGGAUUUGGUCAAUCACUAUGUUACAACAGUUGCAAUACUUUGGAUUACCAACAAAAAAAAUUGUCUUACUUUAAAAGUUGUUUAUUACAGUAUUUCAAUUUUUUCAUUAUACAAAAAUAUUUGAGAAUCAUAAGUCAUUCUAUGAUACCGUGUUAAAAUCAUGACAUCAAUGCUAUAAUCAAACAUAAGUUAUAUAAUUAAAAUAUAAGAUUUGUGAAUUUAAUAUAAAAUUUGUAAAUUAAUAUUAACUAUAAAAUAAAAUAUAAAUUUUGAAAAUGGAAAAAAAACCUUGUAAAUGAAAGGUAAAACAAGUAAGUUAAUAUAAAACUAGUAAAUUGAUAUAUUAUUUGUAAACAAAUUAAAAACUUAGAAAUAUAACAUAGAACUAGUAAAUUAACAUUAAGUACAAAAUAAAAUAUAAAAUUUAGAAAUUGAAGAUAACACCUCUAAAUGGAAUGUAGAGUAAGUAAAUUAAUAGAAAACUAGUAAGUUGAUGUACUUAUGGUAAACAAAACAAAAACUUAUAAAUAUAACAUACAAUUAGGCCAAGUCUCGCUGAUGAGCGCUGACGUAAUGCCCCAACUACAUCUUAAGGAGGCUAUUGAUAUAUUAUUGGUCAACAACACAAAAAACUUACAAGUAUAACACAAAACUAAUAAAUCAAAUUAAGUGUAAAAUAAAACAUAAAUUUUGAAAAUAAAACACAAGACUUAUAAAUGAAAUGUAAAACAAGCCAAUCAAUAUAAGAGUGGUAAAUUAAUGUUUUACUGGUAGACAAAAUGAAAACUUACAAAUGUAACAUAAAACUUAUAAAUUAAUAUUAAGUGCAAAAUAAAAUAUCAAUUUUAUAUAUUACACCUAAAAUGUAUGAAUAGAAGGUAAAAUUAGUAACUUAAUUUAAGAGUUACUUAAAAAAAAUGUAAAAAAAUUACAAACGUAAAAUAAAAACCCAUUGAUUAUCUUAUAUAUUUGAUUUUGUAUUUAAAUUGAAUAAUGAUUAUUUUUUGUUCUUGUGAUACAUUUGAUGUUUUAUUAAGGAUAAAACUUAUUCUCAAAGUUAAAUAAGACUUAUUGAGGAUAAAACUUUAAUGUUUUCAAAGUUGUUUUAAAAUGAGCUCAUUUUACAUUUUUCUACACCUCAGCAGCAGCAUAAAUGGUUCCUGAAUAUAAGUAAGGAGUAAAGUUUAAAACUAUGCAUAAAACUCAAAAUUAAAUCUAAUUUUAUUGAUAUAUCAUAUAUGUCUAGUAAUAAGAAUAUCUUUUUAUUUUGUUUUUGUUUGAUCUACGUUAAGAUAAAUAAUUUCACUUAAUUAACUUGUGUCGUAAAUAGAUAUUAUUAUAGAAAAUAAAAAAAAGUUCAUAAACAUUCCAGAAUGAGCAUAGAGUUUAUAGUUAAAACAAUUCAACAAAACCUAUUCCACUUGUUUUCAGUAUAGUUUUUUUUUUCAAUUGAUGAGUGAUUUUUUCCUUUAUUUAAUUAAAGUAAAUGGUUAUAUCAUUUUUCACUAAAAUAAUAUAAAAACAACGUUAAUUAUUUUAAUAAUAAUAUUUUUAUAUUAAUUUGCUUAUUCAUAGUCUUAUAUAUGAUUUAUAAAAUUUAUAUUUAGCACAAUACUAAUAUCAUAAUUGUAAUCACAAUAUUAUAGAAUUUCCUAUUUAUAAUAAAAAUACAAGCUGAUAACCGUUACAUUUAUUUAUGACUAUAGUUUAAAGUUGAGAGUUCUAUAUAAUUUUUAAUAUUAUUCAACCGAUAACACUAAAAAGAGAAAAUUAUUUAACUUUAGAUGAUGACCAUUACAUUUAUUUUUCUUUUAAAAAAAAUGGAUAUUAAAUGGUGCAAACAACUGUUGGUAUUAAAUAUCUAGUCUUGCCGACACAUCAACUGCCAUUGGAUUGGGACCCAUUUAACUACCGGCCACAAAACAGUUUGGACAAAACUUAAUCCUGAAAACUUGUGGACCCCUCCUUUUAAAAAAUUAAAGAAAAAUUACGUGUCAAAAACAAGAAGAAAAAAUUACACUGAUGAAUUAUUGUUAUGUCAAAUUAUCUAGGGGUGAGCAAAAAAACCGUAGUCUUAAAAAAAUCGAAUCGAACCGACGGUUUUUUUUAAUUCGGUUUGGUUUUUAUUUAAAAAAAAACUAAAAUAUACCGUUUGUAAAAAAAAUCAAAAUAUCGGUUCGAUAUUCGGUUCACUUAGCUGAACUGAAAAACCGAAUUAUUUUUUGAUUUAUUCAAAUCAAACAUGUGUUAAUAAUUUUAUUCAAAUCAAAUAUGUGUUAUUUCUCUUUAUAACAUUAUGAUUAUGUUUAUAUAGAUGGAGUAUUGGAGUUUGGUUAUGUAUUUUGAAAUUUUAAUAUAUUUAUAUUUUGGGAGUAUCUUAUUAAUAGUUAGUAAGAUAUUAGUGAUAAAAUGUAUUUUGAAUACUUUGUAUUUAUUAUUAAUAUUUGUAAUAAAAUUAGGAUAAAUUAAUUGUUGAAAAAAAUUAUUACAUUCAUGAGGCUCAAUGGACUAAUAAUUUAAAAAUUCAAAAAUUCAAAAUAGGCCGAAUAGGCCAAGAAUCGAAAAAACAGAACCGAACCGAACUGACCCAAAAAAAACCGUUUGAGUUUGGUUCUUAUUGAGUUCCGUUCUUAUUCGGUUCUUAUUCGAUUCUUUUUAUAAAAUAACCGAUUUAAAUCGAUUCUAUAAUAAAAUUAGGAUAAAUUAAUUGUUGAAAAAAAUUAUUACAUUCAUGAGGCUCAAUGGACUAAUAAUUUAAAAAUUCAAAAAUUCAAAAUAGGCCGAAUAGGCCAAGAAUCGAAAAAACAGAACCGAACCGAACUGACCCAAAAAAAACCGUUUGAGUUUGGUUCUUAUUGAGUUCCGUUCUUAUUCGGUUCUUAUUCGAUUCUUUUUAUAAAAUAACCGAUUUAAAUCGAUUCUAUUUAAUUUCGAACCGAACCGAACCGAACCGUGCCCACCCCUAAAAUUAUCACACAUAAAAUAAAGAAUUUAAGCAAAAGUCUUAAACCAUUAUAAAUGUGAACACAUGGCAGAAUUAUGAUAUGAUGGGUCCACCUAUUAAAUAUCUUUUUUUAGUGUGGAUACUCGUGUUUCAUAAAAGUAUAAAUUUAAUAUUUUAUAAUAGUAUAAAAUAUUUUAUAAAGGGCAAACGUCAACACUUUAAAAAAAAAUUCUUAGGAUUAAAGUUUAUCAUUAUAAAAAUAAAGUUGAUUGGUACGAGUGUUUCGGUAAUCUCAUUUUUUAAGAGAGAUUAAGAAUUUAAGCUCCGCUCUUAUAUGAAGUCACUAUUUUAGUCAGUAUUUUAUUUUUUAUGGGCUGACCCAGUAUGAGCAGUGAUUAAUCUAAAUUAUAGUAUCGAUUUAAAGGUAUCUCCUACAAUUAAAGUCCACUCAGAACUGACAAAAAAAAAUUAUCAUUACAAAGAGUGAAAAAGAGAAAUCCAGUUUUGAGGGUUACCAAAGCACUUAAAAAAAUAUAUAAAGCACAAAAUAUUUAAAAAUUGGAGACAGUUCGUAUCGAGAAAGGGUCUUAAUUCAUUAAUGCAUAUGACAUACAAUGCAAAGUUUCGCGGUCUAUUAAAGCUAGAAUUAAUUUUAUCCAUUAAACUGCUCUUUUCCUAGUUUAUGGAUAAUUCUUUUGAACCACUGUUGAAGUAUUUGCAAUUUUUGACUAAAUUGUCUCAGCAUGAAGUCUCGUUGGCGAAACCAUCCAUGUCCACAUAUGACGAAAAUAAAUGAACCAACAAUAGACCAGUCACAUUAUUAUUAUUAUUAUUAUUAUUAUUAUUAUUAUUAUUAUUAUUAUUUGAGCACAUAAAUUGAUUUUCUUAUAGUAAAGAAAAAAAAAGUUUUUUCUCCGUGAAUUUGACUUUUUCUUGUGGUAUCGAACCAACCAUAGACUUAUUACCUCUAAAAUUUUCUGAAGGUUAAGAUUUUUUUUUUUAAACAAUUAAAACCAUCCCCAGAAAGAGACUCGAUGACACGUGUCAAAAAAUUGAAGUUUCUAACGGAGUUAAGAAAUAAGAAUAUGUUAAAAUAAGCAAAUUAAUGCAUACAUGUCAAAAAAUCUUCCAAAUAUUAAUUAAGUAAAUUCAGAUUAGUACAAUUUUAUUGAUUAUUUGAUUGUCACCCAGAAAAUCUAAGAAGAAAUUUUUAGCAACCCUUACUAUUUGGGUCACGAAAAGCUUAUAAAUAGACCCAGAUCUCCCAUACUACGAUCAUCAGCAACACCAAAAACACUUUCUUGAAGUAGCGUCUAUAAAUUUCUCUUCUGCUAUCACUUUUUACUCUAUUAAUUAAUAAUGUCUGAGGAAAAGCACCACCACCACGGCCUCUUCCACCACCACAAGGAGCAUGAGAAGCCUGAGGGUGCCACCGGCUACUCCGACACCGCCACCGGCUACUCUGAUACAGCCACCGGCUACUCUGAUACCCCCACCGGUUACUCCGACUCGACCACCGGAUACUCUGAUCAGUCAGCCACUGAUUACUCUGAGACUACAGGUUAUCCGGGAGACCGGCGUCGGCCAUCGGAGACGGAGAGCGGUGACUAUGGCAGGAAAGAGGAAGAGUUUGAUUACAAGAAGGAGGAGAAGCACCACAAACAUCUCGAGCACCUCGGAGAGCUUGGAACUGCUGGAGCUGGUGCUUUUGCUCUGGUAAAGUGAUUCUUCAUCAAGUGCUUUUUUUAUUUUGUGAUAGUGUAUAGUUUCAUUUCUCAUGCAUACAUACAAAAAAAAAGAUUUUUUUUUUUUGACAGCAUAUAUAUGUAUAUAUACAAAGUACCACGCAUGUAACUAGGCUUUUUGCAUGGAUUGGAGGAAAAAAAAGAAAGAAUCCCAUUAUUUUCUUUAAUUUUAUCUCUAUGUUGACACUCAAUUAUUUAUUUAUUUAAUUUUUUUUGGGGGGUUGGGGGGUGUGAACCGAUAUUGUAAAUGGAUCAGCUUGAGAAGCACAAGGCAGAAAAGGACCCAGAGCAUGCACACAGGCACAAGAUAGAGGAGGAGAUAGCCGCGGCCGCAGCCGUUGGAUCGGGAGGAUUUGCGUUCCACGAGCACCAUGAGAAGAAAGAAGCCAAGGAAGAAGACCAGGAAGCUCAUGGAAAGAAGCACCACCAUCUCUUUUAAUUAAUUAUGUAUUGCGUGCGCUACCUUUUUUAGUUUAUUAUAAUUAUGUGUUAAUAUUUUCUGUAUUUUAUUUGUUUUUGUUCGUUAAUUAUCAUUGAGCACAGAGGUAGCUAUCUGCAGCCCUAAAUAAUACUCUUGUGUGUUCGCGUGUAUGGGUGAGUCUGGUGACUUUUGUAAAUAGACCGGAGUUAUCUGGUUAUGUUGUCAUCUUACUUUCAUAUUUAUGUUGAUAAUAAAACUUAGUUUUAAUUGUGUGUUUAUUAUUUAUAAGAUUUGACCUCAUGAUCUGAUGUUUUCUCCAAUCUCAGCUGUUGCUUUAGAAGUGGGGAUCAUCUAUUACUAUUGUUUUUAAAUGAACUGAGCUGACAGCCAUUGCGCUAAAGACUAAUUCAACAUCAUAAAUAAACAACUCUCUUUGCCGUGAUGUAAUUUUAUUUGCCAAUGGGAUAAAGUAAAUUUAUGUGAAAUAACAUUUAUUCUAUAUUUAUUAAAUUUUUUAAAGGAAUAUAUAAAGUUUAAAUUAACCUACAACUUUUCUUAAGAUUCAAAUCCUUGGGGGCUUUAUCAACUAAGAUUUGAUAUUAUAUCUGAAAAUGUAAUCGUGAAACCAAUGAUUAUAAGUUGAACUUAAUGUACAACUAAUCUUGAUAUUACCAAGUUGAUUUAUGGACUUUUGCUCGAGAAUGUUGUAUGGCUCGUGACAAGUUGGACUGAAAAGCCCAUCGAGUAAUGGAAUGUUAGGUGUAUUUUCUCAAGAAGCAACACUAAAUAAUCACCCGCUGAGAGUCACAAGUUUCUUGGCACAAUGUUACUUUCAUGGAUUUAAGUCUCUAAUUAUUGUGUUUUGACUCUAAAGCCAAAUCCCAGUACCAUUGUCAUGAAGGAGGGCCAAAAUAAUCAUUUCCGAUUCGGCUCAACUUUGAUACAAUAGUUGGAGCGAUUAAUGUUACACUUUAACAUCUAACUAGGGACGUAGCUUUCUCCUUUAUUGUAAUAAACAUGAAAGUGAAAAAAAAAUGUACUUGAAAAGAUUAAGAGGACAUGAAAGAACACGAAACAGGGCUCCAUCUACCAUGCCCCCUUGCGCACCGUACCCCCUUUACUUGUUUUGUAAUGAAGGCACCGUUGGAUGAAAAGGAGGAAGAUCGUGGAAGUGGGAAAUCGCCAGGUGGCAGUUGACAAAAACCGGGAGUAUAUGUCAAUUGACAGGAACUGUUUAUGGUGCAAUAAUUUUAUUAAAAGGAACAACAAAUAUGUUGGUAUAGACAACAAUAAAGUAGUUAGCUGGAGCAAUUAUAUGUAGAAGCAAGUAGUUUGUUAGAGACAAUUUUAUGUACGUUAUAAACAAAUAUUUUGUUUGAAGAGGCAUAUAAGUGUGGUUACUGUAGCACGGAAAAUGAAAUGAGAUCAAUUGAUGUUAACUAAAUAAAAAAUGAAGCAUGAACGAAAGGAUAGGAAGUAGAUGUAGUUGAUUAGAUGUGUUGAGAAUACACUCGGAGCUGCAAAAUCCGGCAGGGCCACAGUAAAUGGAGCAAAAAAUAAUCUAGUAUGUGGAGGGAUGAGUUGGCGAAUUAGUAGGAAGCAUCAAAAAAAUUGAGAGCCGCCGUCGGCUGACCAUUUGUGGCAUUAGUUCCACAAAUUGGCAAAUGGGGGAAGGAAGCUUGUGUAAGUGGCAUUAUUUGUAGUGUAUGGAAAUGAUGGGAAAACGAGGAAAAACAAUUACAGCACAACAAGUAAUACUGAAAUAAACAGAAAGGAGAGAAAAAAUGGAAUGAAAAUAAAGUAUAAUUGCAUAGAUAGUGAUUUUUUUUUAUUAAAAAAAGGAACAAAUUGUAGAGUGGAAAGGAGGUAUAUAUAAUCAGAACAAUAGUGGAUUAGAUUGUGUGAAAUUUGCAUGAGUCUGAAGAAGUAUAAAUUGAAUUUGAAUAGAAUUUGAACUGAUCUGUGGCUAGGAUUUGAAUAUCAAGUGAAAAUACGAAAAAAAAAAACAUGUAGCAAAUAAAGAUUGGCAUGGAAGCAGGAUAAUCAGUUCAAAAAGCAGGAGCUAUGGAAUUGACGAUAGCUAGAAAACCCAUGCAUGUCAGUGUUGUUACAUGGCUAUCACCAUAGGUCCACAACCGUGACUUGAAAUAACAAAUAUUUCGGAAAGUGGGUGAUUGCUUAAGACGUGAACGACCAAAUGCCCAUCAUCUUUAUUUAUUACCAUGAAACUGCACUUUAUAGCGCCAUAUAAAUACAUUCGUAAUGCACAAAACAAAUACAUGUCCAUUACAUUGGCAGCCCCAAAAUUAAUAAAAUAAUAAUAAUAAUGCUCAUUUCCAAUGAAAUCAAUAAAUCAGAUCUACAACGGACUGUAACCCAUAGGCAUAAUGCAUCCAAUUCACUUCUUUCCAUUACUUGUUGCAAUUUCACUUUCUGAUUUUCUACACAGAUUCAUUGAAAAAACUUAACAACUAUGAAGUUACUAUGGAACUUUCGAUCAUACAUUUGAUUAUCAUUACAUGUACUUACAAAGAUACAAAACAAAUAAAUUAAUUAAUCCCUUGAUCAUUAUACUACAAGUGCAAAAAAUUGUGAUAUAAAUUUAGGAAAAUCAGUUGGGUGGAAAUUGAUAAUUAAGACGCGAUGUGCUUUUAAGAAGUUGAAGUUGAAUGUAUAGUCAGCAUAAAGAUAAAUAAAUGGGGACGCCAAACACCACCAAUACAAUGAAAUUACAGAGAAAAACAACUAUUUUUUUCUCAUCAAUCAUGCUGCAUUAAAUGGGCCCAGUUGAACUGCUGGUAAUAAUCCCUAAAUCAAUUUGAAAUCGAUGCCCUCUACUCCACAAUUUUACCCUAAAUCUCACUUUCCAAUAGGUUUACCAACAAAAAUUCACUAUUCAACUCAUGCAUUUCAAUUUCAGCUUCCACUAACCUGAUAUUUUUUAUUGCCGUGAUCUCUUCUCCCUCUGUUUCGUUUGAUGUUACCAGAAGAAAAUUAAACUCAACACGAUCCACUUGAUAAAUCUGAGCUAACACACCGUCGCUGCGCACUUGACUAUUCUCCACAACUCGGGUCUCUCUCCCUCACACCGGUCAAAAUCAAUUCCACUCACGGUUUACAGCACCCUAAGACCAAUGUCAAAGGUGCAACAUGUUGGAAUGGUAGCCCAACUUUAACUUACUAUUCAUUCUCAAAGCUCCAACCAUUAGAUUUCACUCAUUAUAAUCUAACGGUUCCCAGCAAACCGACAAAUACAGGGAGCACGGUGCCCAAGGGGGCACAAUAGCUGGACCCACGAAACAGGCGGAUAAUUAGGGAACUCAUGAUUGUCAUCUUUAAUUUGCACAGAAAGAGCAUUAAUUUUUUAUUUUUUUUGGGUUUUAUACUUUUAUCUCACCACUUGAGAGUGGUACAUUUAACAAAAACCCAAAUUCACUAGCAUCUAUGUAAUGUUAUUAUUUUUCUCGCUAAAAAUAUGCUUAAACAAAAAGGAAAUAUCGACAAUUCUAAAUAGAUAAAAAAUUAUUUACACAGGCGUUAAAAAAAACCUUUAUGGAUUAAUUUUUUAAUAAUAAAUAAUAAUCUUCAUUAUUAUUUAGUCUAAUGACAGCUGAUGGAUUCUUUUUUCUAUUUAUAUAAUCAGCUUAAUUAGUUCGAGCCUAAAAUUUUUAAUUUCAAGAAAUUUUAUCAUCUCAGAUGAAACCUACAUUGAACAAUUGUUUAUAUUACAACAGUAAAUUAUAACCACCGAAACAUCAACUGCCAUUGGAUUGGGACCCAUUUAACCACCGGCCAUAAAACAGUUUGGACAAAACUGAAUCCUGAAAAACUUAUGCACCUCCCUUUUCACUUGUUUUUUUUUUAAAAAUUAAAGAAAAAUUACGUGUCAAAAAGAAAAAAAAAAUUACACUGACGAAUCCCUUAUUGUCAUGCCAAAUUAUCACACUUAAAAUAAAGAAUUUAAGCAAAAGUCUUAAACCAUUAUAAAUGUGAACGUAUGGCUGAUUUAUGAUAUGAUGGGUCCAUCUAUUAAAUAUGUUGUUUUCUUUAGUGUGGAUGUUUUUAUUUUAUUUUAUAAAAAUAUGAAUUUAAUAUUUUAUAAUAUUAUAAAAAUUAUAUAAUAUUAUAAAAGAUUUUAUAAAGUGCAAAGUUCAACACUUGAGAAAGAUUUCUUAAGGUUAAAGUUUAUCAUUACAAAGAGUGAAAAAAAAAAGAAGAAGAGGAGGAAAAUAUCGAAUUGUAACUACAACCGUCAUGUUUUUACAUUGCAUUUCUUACAAUUUUCCAUUAAAUAUUUCUCAAAUUCUUUAGAGAAUUAAAAUAAAAUUGUUAUAAAAUUAAAUUCUCUCAUGAUCUAAAUUUGUCUGAAGUAAAAUUUAGUUGGAGAUUAGUGAUUAAUUAAAAAAAUAGUUAAAUCAAAAUCAUACAUAACAUUAAAAAAAAUAUAAAACACAAGAUAUUUAAAAAUUCGAGAGAGUUCAUGUUAAGAAAGGGUUUUAAUUCAAUAAUGCAUAUGAUAUGCAAUGCAAAGUUUGGUGGGUCUAUUAAAACUAUAAUUAAUUUUAUCCAUUAAACUGCUAUUUCCUCUUUUAUGGAUAAUUCUUUUGAGCCACUGUUGAAGUAUUUGCAAUUUGUAACUAAAUUGUCUGAGAAUGAAGUCUCGUUGGUGAAACCAAUCAUGUCGACAUGUAACGAAAAUAAAUCAAAAUCCGGAAACAAUAUUUAUGUAACAAUGAACCAACAAUAGACCAAUCACAUUAUUAUUAUUAUUAUUAUUAUUAUUAUUAUUAUUAUUAUUAUUUAUUACCUCUAAAAUUUUCUGAAGGUUAAGAUUUUUUUUUUUAAACAAUUAAAACCAUCCCCAGAAAGAGACUCGAUGACACGUGUCAAAAAAUUGAAGUUUCUAACGGAGUUAAGAAAUAAGAAUAUGUUAAAAUAAGCAAAUUAAUGCAUACAUGUCAAAAAAUCUUCCAAAUAUUAAUUAAGUAAAUUCAGAUUAGUACAAUUUUAUUGAUUAUUUGAUUGUCACCCAGAAAAUCUAAAAAGAAAUUGUUAGCGACCCUUAACAUUUGAGUCACGAAAAGCUUAUAAAUAGACCCACAUCUCCCAUGCUACGAUCAUCAGCAACACCAAAAACACUUUCUUGAAGUAGCGUCUAUAAAUUUCUCUUCUGCUAUCACUUUUUACUCUAUUAAUUAAUAAUGUCUGAGGAAAAGCACCACCACCACGGCCUCUUCCACCACCACAAGGAGCAUGAGAAGCCUGAGGGUGCCACCGGUUACUCCGACUCGACCACCGGAUACUCUGAUCAGUCAGCCACUGCUUACUCUGAGACUACAGGUUAUCCGGGAGACCGGCGUCGGCCAUCGGAGAUGGAGAGUGGUGACUAUGGCAGGAAGGAGGAGGAGGUUGAUUACAAGAAGGAGGAGAAGCACCACAAGCAUCUCGAGCACCUCGGAGAGCUUGGAACUGCUGGAGCUGGUGCUUUUGCUCUGGUAAAGUGAUUCUUCAUCAAGUGCUUUUUUCAUUUUGUGAUAGUGUAUAGUUUCAUUUCUCAUGCAUACAUACAAAAAAAAAGAUUUUUUUUUUUGACAGCAUAGAUAUGUAUAUAUAAAAAGUACCAAGCAUGUAACUACGCUUUUUGCAUGGAUUGGAGGAAAAAAAAGAAAGAAUCCCAUUAUUUUCUUUAAUUUUAUCUCUAUGUUGACACUCAAUUAUUUAUUUAUUUAAUUUUUUUUGGGGGGUUGGGGGGUGUGAACCGAUAUUGUAAAUGGAUCAGCUUGAGAAGCACAAGGCAGAAAAGGACCCAGAGCAUGCACACAGGCACAAGAUAGAGGAGGAGAUAGCCGCGGCCGCAGCCGUUGGAUCGGGAGGAUUUGCGUUCCACGAGCACCAUGAGAAGAAAGAAGCCAAGGAAGAAGACCAGGAAGCUCAUGGAAAGAAGCACCACCAUCUCUUUUAAUUAAUUAUGUAUUGCGUGCGCUACCUUUUUUAGUUUAUUAUAAUUAUGUGUUAAUAUUUUCUGUAUUUUAUUUGUUUUUGUUCGUUAAUUAUCAUUGAGCACAGAGGUAGCUAUCUGCAGCCCUAAAUAAUA